UGCUGAACUUUACCCGAGUCUGCUUACCGAAGACGCAGUGCUCACAGAAAUUCAACUUUCCUGUACACUGCCCAGACAAUAAUCCUCGUUUGCUUAGCACCGAUAAGCCUCUCUCGCUCAUAUGCCCGAGCCGCAUAUGCCAUAACUUCGUGGUGUCAGAAUCUAGAUCAUCUGAUGAUGACACUCCCGCAACACCUGUAACCGAGGAACCAUCGAGGAAGUAAAGGCCCCGCUCCAAAUUACCACGUAUCACAGUCAAAGCACCCGAGAAUACCUUGAGAACUCCACCUUCAGCAGAGUACCGAAAGCCUUUCUUGUCCAACGUACUCAAAGAGAUCAAAUUUUUCUUCAUUUCUGGAAUGUGCCGAACAUCAGUUAGAGUUCUAACAAUACCGUCAAACAUCUUUAUACGAACUGUGCCAAUCCCCAUGACUUGACAUGCGUGGUCAUUUCCCAUUAGUACUGAACCAGAAUGCUUCUCGUAUGUUGAGAAUGCAUCUUUCGAAGUACUUAUAUGAAAUGUAGCUCCCGUAUCAAGAAUCCAUCUCCCACCAGCGUAAGAGUCGGAUACUGCAAGAACGAUCUCGGCAUCACUUGAAGAAUCUGCAUCAGCUACAUUCGCACGAUCAUUUUGUUGCUCCUGUGAUUCUGAUUUCUCCUUCCUUUUCGGACAAUCUACCUUCAUGUGCCCGUACUUCUUACAGUAGUAGCACUGUAUUCUCUUCUUAGACUGCGAUCUAGGAUGGCUUUUACUUGAACUUCCACCCUUUGCCUUGGAUCUUCCUCGAGCAACCAAGCCUUCGCCUUCAUUGUUUUCGACCACCUUACCAGUGAUUUUCUUCCUCAACUCACUGGAACUUAAGGCAUUUUUCACCUCCUCUAGAGUCAGGUCAUCACGACCGUACAUCAUUGUAUCAACAAAAUUCUCAUACGAGGGAGGCAAAGAACACAAAACAAUUAUUGCUUGGUCCUCAUCAUCGAUUUUGUUAUCGAUAUUAUUCAAAUCCAUGAUAAUGGAAUUGAAUUUAUCCAGGUGCUGGGAAACAGGUGUACCUUCCUCCAUCUUCAGGGCAUAGAGUCUUUGCUUGAGGUAGAGCCGGUUCGUCAAUGACUUCGUCAUGUACUUGCUCUCUAACCGGAGCCACAAACCGGACGCGGUUUUCUCAUCCGCUACUUCUCGUAGCACUUCAUCUCCUAGACAUAGCAGAAUAGCACUAUGUGCUCUUUCUAGCAUGUCAUCCUUUUGCUCUUCCGAAAGCGUGCUUGGUAAUUUAUCUUUACCAGACAAUGCUUUUAGCAAUCCUUGUUGAACCAGCACUGCCCGCAUCUUGAUGCGCCAUAAACUGAAACUAUUUUUCCCGGUAAAUUUCUCGACAUCAUACUUAGUCGAUGAAACACUUGUAGCCAUAAUUUGGAACCUUUGAAUGAAUGAUAAUAUUUUCUUCCUGAUGUGAAAGAUCAGACAAAGCUGCAGUCACAGGGCAAUUCAGAAAAUAUUAUCACUCCUUCAACUACGCUCUGAUACCAAUUUGUUGCGGAAAGGAUCGAUUCGAGAACUCCGAUAUGACUACAAGUAAAUUGACCGAAACGAAAAGUAAAGUGAACACAAGGAUUUACGUGGUUCGGCUUUAAUGCCUACGUCCACGGGCAGAGGCGAAAAGAAAUUUCACUAUAACAAGAUGAAGAUUACAAGUGUUUUACACUCAAGACACAACCCGAGAACCUCACAACUCUCAACCCCUAUAGAAAACCCGAAAGCUAAAAUCCUAGCUUUCAAAGAACAAGCUUUGCUCUCUCUUGGUUUGGGAUGAUAAAUAUGGCUAAUGAACCUCUCUAUUUAUAAGAGAGUUCAAGGACAUAAUUGUCCAAAACUUUGGCAAAGAUUUGUGGUUGAAAAUGGACACCAACAACCAUCCACUAAUCCACUACCACCAACAACCCACUACCAACAACAACAAUCCACUACCAAUUUUAAGCCAUUUCUUAACAAAUAAUUAUAUUUAUCUAAUAUAUAUAAAAAUUGAUACAUUUAUUUCUAUAAAUAUACACAGUUGAAUCAAAAUAAAAUAUUUAUUUAUAUAUUUAAAUUACAAUUAAAAUUUCUAAUUGUAUCAAAUUAAAAUUCAUAUAUAAAUUUGAGAUUUACCCUUUUUAUUUUCUUCCUUUUUGAAAAGCUAUAAGUGACUAAUUAGUUAGUGUGUAUAAGACCACCUAACUUAAAAAUUAUUUUCCAUUUUCCUUUGGAAUAUUAGUUUUAUUUUUGCCAAAUUUUUUAUAAAGUUCAGGCUUAUUGUUCUUAUUAUUUUACCAUUACCAACCAACCAAAUGAAUGAAUGUUUUAAAACCUUAUGAAUUCCUUUGAUGAAGUAAAAAUAAAAUAUAUUUAAGAUUAUAAAAAUAUUUUUAAAUAUUAAAUAAUGUUUAUACUAUAAUUCAUAUAUAGAUAAUUAUUUGAUACGCACAGAGUGAAUCAAGAAAAUUUUUUAAGAUGGGCCAAAUUUGAAAAUGACUAAACAUGUUUUUUUUAGGAGAUAAAAUGUAAUUUUAUCAUAUAUAAAAAUUUAAUAAUUUAAUAAUUUUUAGAAGGUUUAAAAUGUAAAUUUCCAAUUUUUAGGUUGGGAUCUUUGCUUGCCUCUUUUGCAUGUGCCCUUGGAUAUCUUAGCGGCGAAAUUUUCUAACUUCACAAUUAAGGUUAAGAGACCACCAUGUGUCUCAUUUAUAUAUAUUUUUAAUUAUUAUUUUAAUAUUAAUUAAAAACACUUGUCUACGUAUUAAUUUCAUUUGUAGAGGUAAAAAUUCUACCGUUUGUGUAUAGAUAAUUCCUUAAUAUUUUUAAAAUAAGAAAAAAUUUUGUACACUGCCAUUGAAAUUUUUAAACUUUACAUGUAGGGUUGAGAUAAUGACGAGUGUUUAAUAGAGUACACUAAAAUCUUAUAUAUAUAUAUAUAAAAGAAAUGAGACAUAUAACAAUUUUUUAAUUUUGCUUAUGUAAUUAAAAACAAACACCGUCAAUAUACCAAAUACUAACCUAUUAAAAAUUGGAUGAGUAUUUAAUACACGAGUAAUUUACCUUUUUUAUUCCACAAUAAACUUUAAAAAAUUGUCAUGUGUCUUUUCUUUUAAAUAUUUAUUUUUAAAUUUUUUACUGUAAACAUUUGUCAAUCUCUUAAUCCUAAAAUCUCUGCUGUUAAUAUACCAAAUAAUUUUUUUAAAAAUUUUAUUAAAAUAUUGAGCUAAUAAAAUUAAAAUGAUUAUAUAUUAAAUUUAACUUACAAAAUUAUAAAUUUUACAAAAAAAAUAGAAUUAAAAAUAUAUUUAGGCCAAACGUAAAAAGAAAGUAAUACUAGAAAAAUAUAUUUGGCGGAAAAUAUUAAUUAUCUUAUAUUCUUUUUAGAAUACAAAUAUAAUACAAAUUACAAUCAUAAAUUGAGUUUAAAUAAGUAUAAAUAGAUUAAUAUAAAUUAUAGCGGAUAGGUUUUUAUAAUAUUGAUUAAAGUAAAUAUAUACUUUUUUUUCAAAUAUUAUUAUUAUUUUAAAUCAUUAAUUUAAACAAAAAUAUAUACAAAUAACUCGUAGAUCGCACGUAAAUGUAAACUAGUAUAUAUAUAUAUAUAUAUAUAUAUAUGUAUUCUCUAAAUAACUGUAAAUAAAGGCUAGUUUAAAAGCUUUCAUCUCAUUUUUCCAAAUUAUCAAAGGACCAGUCAUGAGCUGUAGGCUUUAGAUAUUAAUUUAUUGUGGAACUUUUGGUUUUCCCUUUUUUCAAAUAGUUAUCGAAAGCCAUUUAUAUAGUGAAAAUAGUGGUGGUUGAAAAAGAAAAAUAACUAUUUAUUUUUCCUUUUUAUAUUAAUAUUGCUGUGGAAAAUUAUCUUUCUUACAAAUAGUUAUAUUUUAAUUUUUUGUAUUAGGUGUAGUUGUAAGUCACAAUGCAUUUUUAAAGAGAGAAUUUAGAUUUAAACCAUGAAAAUACCAUUAUUUGAAAAGGAAAACCAUAAACUAUACUAGAAGAAUUAAUUUUCAUGAACUGUAAAUAAACAUAUAUCUUGGUUUCACAAAACGAAAAAGUUCGACAAAUAUUAAUCCUAGGUUUAGUAUAAUUUUGGAUAAAUUAAAUUUAAACUAAAACAUACGGAGUAAAUACUUAUGAAGCAAUUUACUCAUUCUCAAAAUAAGUGCGGCAGUUUAGGUACUGUACUGUUAAAAAGUGAUUAAAUAAGGAUAAUUAAAUCUGAUGUUAACUAUUUUUGUUAAUAAACUAUAGUGUAAGGAGUAAUUUAGUCACUCUCAAUAAGGACAAUUAAAGACAAGAUUAAUUCACAAACCUCGAACAUGAAAUAUAAAACAAAUAUGAAAAAUAUAAAAGAAAAAGAAAAAAAAAAGAGAGAUAAUGUUGAAUAUUUUUGUUAAUAAAAUAUGACAUGUUAGAGAUAAAUUAACCACAUUAACUAUUUUCAUUAAUAAUCAAAUAUGCUAAUGACACAUUAAAUUUAGAAAUAUGGCUUUCAGAGGAUUGUACAAAGAGAUUGGUUAGUUACAUUGAUGUAGAUUGAGUUGGUAAUGUAGAUGAUAGAAGGAGCACGUAUGGAGGAUGCUUCUAUUUGAGAUCAAACUUGGUAUCUUAUAGUAUAGCAAGAAACAAGCUUCAAUUUCCUUAUCAACAACUAAAGUUGAAUACAUUAAUGUCAGUAGUUGUUGUGCUCAACUUCUAUGAAUGAGACAAAUGAUGGAGGACUUUGGAAUUGCAUCACCAUUUCAUUCAAGAGCUUGUUGAAAAUGUCAUUGUUGAAUUAAAGUAUUUGUCUAUUGAACAUCAACUGGUCGAACUCUUCACCAAAGCUCUUAAUUUAGCCAGAUUUAAAGCUUUAAGAAGCAUAGUUUGUGUUUGUUGAGUUUCAAACUUGAUAGCUAAGGCAAGGCAUCCAAACUCCACUCUUAGAUGUCUGUUUACUUUAAGGUUAUGUUUUGGUGUUUCAUGGCUCGAAAAUUUCAAUUUUGGAGGGAAAAUUUUCCUUAUAUUUUACCUUCCAAAAAUUGAGAGGGAAAAGGAAAAACGAUUUAAUCUUAAAAAUUUGGGUAUUUAAUACCUUGAUUAAGUUGCAAUUAAACACGCCUACUGCUCCCCAUUUUUUCAGAAACCAAAUUCUUUUAAGAACCUCUAUGCGUUCUUGAUCUAUUUUCAUCUCAUCCUUAUUACCUUAUUGUUUAAGAAAAAGUUUCUUUUCCACUUACAAUGACUCGUGUAAAGGUCAUUUCCAAGGAUGGUUCUGAUGGUUAAUCUCGACAAAAUACUCAUUCUACUAAGAAGGAUCUUCAAGUGGUACCCAACAACCAAUGACCCUUGUACCAAAAGUUUCAUCAUCUGAUAUAGUUGCAUUUGUAACUGCUCAUGAUGGAGUGCCUCCAGUUCUUGAACAACCAUUUGUUGAUGUUUUCACUUAUUCGCUUCCUAAAAUUCCCAAGAGGAUGAAUUCUUCUACCAUUCAAGUUUCUAAAGUAGAGAGAUGUGAAACCUGUAAAGCUGAACUUCAGUGAAUCUUGAAUACAUGAACGAAGCACGAACUCAAAUAAAAAAACGAAGCAAUAAGACAAGAUUUCAAGACGUGUAUCAAUCCACUAUCUUUAAGGUUCUAUUUGCCCCUACCCAUACUCGAUAUGCAAAUGAGUUUCAAGCAAAUGAACCUCAAUGAUACAAUAAAACCCGGUGCCUACUUAGGUUUUGCACUGACAAAAAUAGUCCAUUAAGCACUAAGCAGACUAUAAUAAGAAAAUCAAUUUCUAUAAAGAAUUUCUGCAAUAAUUUUUUAUAGAACAAUCUAAUAAUAAUAAAAGACGAAGGAAGAAUAGAAAGAAUUUUUGAGAAUUUUUGGUAUAUUUUUCAAAUGAAAUCCACUUCUAUUUAUAGUAACUUUCAUGUCUCUUCCUAAAGACAUAACUUCCAAUAAGUGUCCCUGAAUAAUCACAUCUUUAAAAGAGACAUAAUUAUUCAACUGAUAUCUCAUAUUAUUCAAGUAAUAUUAUUCGUAUAAUUAUAUUUCUUUGUCAAAAAUCAAGUGAUAUAACUUUUGAUCAAUAAUCAUAAGACAUUACACCCUUUCAUUUAUAGUUAUUGGAACACUAUAAAUAUUUGAAAAUGUUCUAACAAUCUCCCCUAUUUUAAAAAUAUUUUAGAUUUUGAUAAUAUUGGACAUCAAUUUGCAUGGAUGAAUGUGUCUUACGAUUUAACCUUCGCUUAAUGAAAACAUGUUAAAGUUAAUCGAAAUUGUAUUGUAGACUAAGCUUUGAACCAACUAUUCCAUUUAAUUAACCGAACACAUCUCAUUCAAUGAUUUCAAUACUAGUCAAUGUAUAGUAUCUAGGGACACUAUUAUGGCCAUGUGUCUGUGUCCUCUUUUCAUGAGUGUUGUUAGAGCCAAGCCCUUGAACUCCUAGAAGCAGCCACACUUCACACUGACAUAGGUAGAUCCCAUCAAGAGUGUUCAUGUAGUUAUAAUACUCUAACAUAUUUAUGUUAUGGGUCCAUUAAGAGUACAUUACACAUCCUUCCGUUAUCAUUAUGGGUAACUAGCACUUUAAUUUUAGAAUGGAUUUAUUUAUAGUGCUAGCACUCACAUACUAAUCUACCGUAAUUUGAUAUGUCAAAUUAGACUCUCCAUUGAACUUAAUGAGCUUAUUUUCAAGCAAAUUAGUUGUCUUAGCUUUACUUUUUUUGAUUUUUAGUUUUUGUUGUUAAUAAAUUGUUUUUGUGAGUUUUAUGUCCUUUUUGAAACCCAAAUUGGUCAAACGUGUCAUGGGGGACCAAACGAUGUAAUUGAAUUAGUGUAAGAAGUCAGUAAUGGCCCAAAUGUGAAGAAAUCGUCUUUAGAAAGGGGUAUCACGACACUGAGCCAUGGAGGUUGUGAUACUCAUGACAGUGCUAAAGUGAAAGAAAAUGAGGUCAACUUCGGUGAUAUCGCAAUACCAAGGAUGGGUAUUGCGAUACCAAGACGCCCUAAGACUUCCAAGUGCGAUAUUGCUUAGAGUAUUGCAAUACCGUUGCCUGACGAGACAAAAAAUGACUACAGAAGUAUUUCUUAUCCAACACGAACUCCAAUCACAAUUGGACGUUUAAGGGCAUUUUGGUCUAAUUUCUUGUGUUGUAAUCAGAUAAAAAACCACUUUUUGGCGAGAAGAAAGGUGAUUGUUUUACUUUAGUUCUUUUUUUUUCAUCUUUUUAGCUUUGUAGUUGUCUUCUUCAAGUUAUCUCUAAGGUUUUAGUUACUUUUCUGGUUUUAGUCAAGUUGGUAGUUAGUUAGUUAAGUUUACUGUAACUUGGUCUUAUUUUCUAUUUAGUACUCAAAACUCUUUUAUAUUUUCAUUUUAAUUCCAAGCUCUUAAUAUAUAUAUAUCAUCAUUUUCUUUUAAAGCAUAAAAAUUUGAUCUUUGAUAGUAUUUGUAACCUCCAUUGUUGCCUACAUCCUCUCUUUCAAGCAUUCAUCAAGAAAUUAUUAAGCUUUCUUAACCCUAUUUCUUGUGCUUAAUCUAUUGUAUGAUUUGAUUGUUUAUUGGGUUGUUGUUUGUUUAGAAAUGAUGUUAGGUAACUAAGUUUAUGGUGAUAUCUCAUAAAUAUUCAAGUAAUAUUACUUGUAUAAUUAUAAUUCUUUGUCAAAAAUCAAGUGAUAUAACUCUUGAUCAAUAACCAAAAGACAUUACACCCUUUCAUUUCUAGUUAUUGAACACUAUAAAUAUUUCAAAAUAUUCCAACACAACCAUGUCCAAGACGAUUGAAGAAAUGGAUUGAUUGAUUUCGCAUCCACCUCAUUUAGAAAAUGACCCUGUUUUUGAAGUUGGUUUGGACUUUCAUUGAUGUUAUCAUCGAACAAGGUAAUAUUGUUUCUAGGGGGUGAGCAAAAUCCAAUUCGAUUCGAAAAACUUAAUAAAAAAUUCAAAAUUUGAAUUAAAUAGUUCGAGUUAUUCGGAUCAACUCAAAUAAAAAAUUAAAAUUUUCAGUUUAACUCGAAUAUGAAUUACACAAUUCUAAUUAUCCGAAAAUCCGAAUAAGAAAAGGUAAAAUUACAUUAUUUUGAUAAAUGUUCACCUUUUUUAAAGUUAAAAAUCAAAACCAUUAAACUGCAUUGUUUUGAUAAAUGUUUACUCAUUAAGUUAAAAGACAAAACCAUUAUAUUGUUUAUGUAGUUAAAUAAUAUUGAACUUCGUCUACUAGUUAAAUAAUUAGUCCAUGUAAAUGCAACAUUGGGUAUAAAUAAUAAGAUUCACUAAUUUGACUCGACCUGACUCGAAAUUUUUUGACUCGAUUUGAAAAAAAACCAAAUUAAGUUCAAUUGCUAAAAUAUGAUUCGUCAACUAGACUAACUCAAAAUUUUUUGACUCAAUUUGACUCGACUCAAUCAAAUGCUCACCCUUAAUUGUUCCGCUUGAUACUUCCCAUGAUUCAACUACUUCUGAAAUUGUUGAUAAUUCUGCUGAAAAAUUUGUGACCAAUAUUAUUGAACCUAACAUUGGUAAUUUUGAUAAUGUGGAUUUGAAGUAUGGCAUUGUUGAUCCUCCUGUGUCCAAUCCUAUACCUGGCCUAGCUCUUGAAAAUUCUCAAGAACUAGAUGUUGUAAUAACAUCAGCCACAACUAUGUGAUUCGGGGUGUUACAGCAAAAAUGAUAGUACAGACCCAAAUUUGCCCGGGCCCAUACACUUACAAAACAAAAAAAAACAAAUAAUACAAUGUCCAAAAAUAACAGGUCUAAUUUAUAAACCUAAAACCCAAAAUACUAAAACUAGCCCUAACCCACUACACUUAAACUUUUUUCAGAAAAUUUGAAACCCUAGCUAGGUGCGUCGUCGCUACCCUCGCCACGUCACCUCCGUACCCGCCGUACACCACCGCAUGCCAGUAAGUCGUACUUGCAAAGAAGACAAUCAACAACAAAACAAAAAAAAAGGAAAACAAAAUGUUGUAUUUUUUUUCUUUAUUGGCUAUAAAAAGCCAUAAAAAACAAUGUAUUUCUUCUUCUCUUUUUGGGUUUUACUUACGAAAAUACAGAGAAUAGAAUCAAAAGCAGAGAAAAUAAAUUCAGAAAAGGUCUUUUUUUGUUUAUUUUUUAUUUGAUUUCGUGCAUUUUAUUUUAUUUUUAUUUUUUUAAAACAACAAGAAAGAAUAAAUAAAGAAAUACAAGAGGAGAGGUCGAAACUACCUGGCCCUUCGCGUUCUGUCGCCGUUAUGGAAGAGGUUUGUCAUUUUCGAUGAAAAACGACCCCUUAAGGGUUCGGGGAUUCAAAAAGCAAAAAAAGGAUUUUUUUUUUCGGCCGCCACAGUGGCCAUUUGCCGGAACCUUAGGCCGGAGUAGGGAGAGGAUGAAAGGAGUUUGAGAUUAAGUUUUUUUUUAAUUUUUUCCCCUUAAUUUAUUUCGUUUCCAAUCAGGUCCAUAUCGAAGCUACGCGUUUUGGAGGGGGAUUAUUUCCCAUUUUGGUCCCUCCUUAUUAUUCGUGUGUUCGAUUCGGUCCUUUUCUUUUUAUUUUUAUUUCGAAUUUGCCCUGAAUUUCUAUUUUAAAUUCAAUUUAGUCCUUUUUUUUAGUUAUUUUGCUAUUUUGUUAUUAAAAUUAAUUAUUUUUAUUUUUAGUAUUAAUAUUAUUAUUAUUACUAUUACUAUUGUAUUACUAUUAUUAUUAUCAUUAUUAUAUUUUCCUUUUUUGUAUUUACAUAUAAGUUAAUAUUAUUAUAUUAAAUAAUUUGAUAUUAUUUUUUAGCACAUUUAUUUUAUUUUUUAUAUAUCUUUACUCUUAUUAUUAUCAUUUUAUCAUUCAUUUUAUUUAUAUCUUUUUAAAUAAUUUCAAACUUUAGAAUAUCUAUUAUUUGUAUUAUUGUUAUUAUUAUUAAUAUUACUAUCAUCAUUAUUAAUAUUAUUAUUUUUAAAUCCCUCUUUUACAUGAUAGUUAUUUAUUUACUCGAUUACCAUUAGUUUUUUUAAAAUUUGAAUUUCUUAGCUUACUUAUUAUUUUUCUUUUUAUGAUUAACUUGUUCAUUUUAUUCGUUCAUUCUCGUUUUCCUUGUUGUUGCUUAAUGCAUUUAUUUUGUUACGUAUAUUGCCAUCAUGAUUUAUUUUCACCCUAAAUUCAUAAAAAAAGAUUUUUUAAUAAAGGCAAUAUUUUGUGUUUGGAAAUUUGAGAGAUCGUGCCCUAACGUAUUGGGUUUGGAUUUUUCUCGUUUGACCCAAAUGACCGAAUAUCCUUUUAAAAUUAAAAAAGCAUGAGUUUUGAAAAUCAAAAGACAAGCUUAUUCUCGAGGGUUUAAAAUGUCAUGUCCUAACAUACUGGAUGUGACAUUUUAUUACUUCGGGAUAAGAAGAUCCUUAGCACCUACUUCUAUUUACCCAAACAUUUUUGUAAAAUUAACAUUAAUAAAAAAGGAGGAUCGUAUUUUUAAAUUCUUUACGGAUUUUCAACUUUCGACAUUAAGACAUUAAUAAAUCAAUUAGGUACCAAUUUUGGGCGUUACGAGAGUGCUAAUCCUUCCUCGUACGUAACCAACUCCUGAACCCGUUUUCUCGAGUUUCGUAGACCGAAAUCGUUGUUUUAGUAAAACAAAACAUUUUAUUAAAACAAAUAAAUUACGGGGUGAUCCGGUCACACCUAAACAAAAAAGAUUGGUGGCGACUCCCCAUUUUCAUUUUUAAAAUAAAGUCGACCCCUUUUUUUUUAAAAAAAAUGGUUUCGAUAGUAAUUAACGCGAUUUAUGUCUUUGAUGUUAAGUUGUCAAGACAUAUAAAAAUAAAAAUCUACUUGAAAAUAUAAAUUAGCAUAUAGUUACAAGUUGGGUCAUAUCCAUAGAGUCUAAAAAUAACUUUAUUUUUUAAAUAAAAAUAAAUAAAAUAAAUAAAAUAAAUAUAAUGAUGGGUUUUAGAAAAUAAAAAACUUAUCAAAGAAAGCAAUAAUUAAAAGUUGAGGAAAAAUCAUUUAGAUAAAGCUCUAGCCAAAGAUAAAAUCUUUAUUUGAUUCAUAAAUCCUAUCAUCGAUGCAAUAAUAUAUUCAAUGCUUUUAACUAAUUAGUUCUAGCUGCUGACUCAACGCUAAAUAAGCCAUCUCUUUUUACCCGUUUGAUAAUCAAGAGGCAACUCGUUUGAAAUUGCUUUCCUUGCCAAUCAAUAACCUUGUAACUUAAUGCUCAAGGUUUAAUUUAGCAGUAACAUUAAGAAUGAGAGAGAUCUAAUUUAACCAACAAAUUCACCUCAACGAGGUUUCUUUAAGCUAUAUCAUACAUCUAUACCACAUAAAUCAUGACUACGACAUACAUAAUUAUGCAAUUUGCCACAAGUAUUAGAAUGAAUUAAACAAUUCUGGAUUUAAUUAUUCUAAUUGACAAUACAAUAAUUCUAAGUUAUCAAAUACUAGCUGAAUAUCCAACAAACCUAAAUCAAACUACUAAAGAACAAAGAAAUAUUAAGAACAAAUCAGAUCUCAAGAAUUUAUAAAAUCAAACUUUGAAAAUCUUUUUACUAGAAAAAAAGAGUUUAGCAAAUCAUAAAGUUGAAGAAUACAAUAAACAAAUAGAACGCAAUAAUAUUAAAAAAAUAACCUAAAUCAAUUGUAUCUAAAAAAUAUGAAUAUAAAAUAUUUAUAAAUUAAUUAAAAAGUUUAUAAUUUUUUUAUAACUGUUAAUUCAAACUCGGAUUAUUUUUAGAAAAAAUGAAAACCUCAGUUCAUAAAUUUAUCAUUUUUAGACAAUUAUUUGAUUAAUUUAUAAAUAAAUUAUUUAAUAGAAUUAUAAUUGAGAAAAAAUUAACUAUUAUAUUAUAUAAAUAUGAAAAUUUAUAAAUUCGUUAAAAACUUGCAAAAGAUAUUGAAUUUUUCUUAAAUUUUUGUACAUUCUAUGUUUGUAACGCUUUUAAACAGUAUAGUAAUUAAAUAUUAUAUUAAGAUAUUAAUUCUACAAAAUAAUGGUUUUUUGCCUCAAUAUUAUAUAAAAAAAAUUUUAUACACGAAAAUGGGUUGUCAGCCAGAUUAAUUACAAAAAUGGUAUAUUUUUUUAAGUCGUGCCUACUUGAUAGGUGCAAUCGAUUUUUUUAAUAUUAAUUUUUUUUGUUUAAAAAAUUAUUAUUAUAUUAUUUUUUAAUAUUUAUAUUAAUAUAUACGUAAAAAUAUGAGUUUUAUACGGGUAAAAAAUACCUGAAACGGGUCAAGCCUGUUAGGUAGGCAUAGAGGUGUGCAUGGGCAGGGUCGGGCCCAUAAAAAAAUUUUGGCCCGUUUUCAAGGCCCGGGCCCAGCCCGGCCCCAAAUAUGGGCCUAGAAUUUUGUCCAAGCCCAGCCCGAGAAAAAAAUGAUAGGCCCAAGCCCGGCCCAACCCGGCCCGGCCAUAUUACUUUUUUUUCUUUUUUUAUUAAAUAAAAAAUUUUAAAAUAUAAUAAAUCAAAUGCAUUUAAAACAUAAAAACAAAUAUUAAAACAAAAAAAUAAAAAAUGGGACUAAAAUAAUCUUAAAAUAAUACAUAAAUUAAAAAUAUAAUAAAAAGUAAUUAUAUUAAAAUUAAAAAAUUAAAACAAAUUAGAACUAAAUUAAGAACUAAAUUAUAUUAAUAACAAAAAUUUUACAAUAUCAAAAUAACAUUAAAAACAACAAAAAAAAGUUAGGUAAAAAAAACUAAAGUUACUUAAAAUUUAAAAUAAAAAAAAUUAAUAUUAAAAUCAGGCUGGGCUGGGCCCGGGCCAAAAAAAUCUUGCCCGAGGCCCGACCCAUUUUCUAAACGGGCCUCAUUUUUUGCCGAAGCCCAUUUUUCGGGCCUAUAUUUUUACCCAAACCCUCCCAUUUUUCGGGCGGGCCUUCGGGUCGGGCCGGGCCGCCCGACCCAUGCACACCUCUAGGUAGGCACGACUAGUCUUGCCUGACAGGUAGGCGCGACAUCCCCACCUACUACUGCUGUUGCUACCGUUGCUUUUGCUGCCCCUGCAUGCUGCUCAUUUUUUCUCCAUGCAUAAGUCAUCACUCAUGGAAAAAAAAAACUUUAUGGGGGACCUUAUAAGCAUGGUCCCCCCAUAUUGAAGCAGCCACCGAUUGUGAGAAAGAAAGGAGAGAAAUGAGAACGAGAAGAAGAAGAAGAAAGAAAAGGGUAAUGUAUUAUUUUAGUAGUUUAUUAUAAAAUUAUGGUGUUUUGUGAGUUUUUAGCAAUGUAAAUUUUUUUUUAAAAAAUUGUAUAAUUAUUUUGUUAGUAGUUUAUGAUUAGGUUAUAAAUUAUUAGUUUUUUUUGUAUUUUGUUAUAGUUUUUUGUUUUGUUAAUAAUUUAUGGGAUUAGGUUACAAAUUGUUAGUGUUUAGUGUAUUAGUGUUUUGUGAUUUUUUUAGUAAUAUAUUUUUUAAAAAUAAUUUUAUAGUUGAUUAGGUUAUAUAAUUGUUUUAUUAGUAAUUUAAGAUUAGGUUAAAUAAAUUGUUAGUGUUUAGUGGUUUAGUGUAUUCGUGUCUUGUAAUUUUUUUAGUCCUCUUUUUCUAAUUUUAUAGCUAUUUUUUCGUCCUUUAAGCUUCGGUUCUAUAAAUUGUUAGUGUUUAGUGGUUUAGUGUAUUGUGUCUUGUGCUUUUUUUCGUCCUCUCUUUUCCUAAUUUUCUCGCUCUUUUCUUCGUCCUUUCCGCUUAGGUUAUCUCUUGUUCGUGUUUAGUGGUUUCGUGUGUAUUAGUGUCUUGUGCUUUUUUUCGUCCUGUCUUUUCCCCCUCCUUUUCUCGUUCUUUUGUGUUCGUCUCUGCUUCUCCCUUGUUCGUGUUUCGUUUCGUCUUUUGUGCUUUUUUCCUGUCCUUUUUCUCUUCUUCUCUUUCUUUGCUCUUUUUUUGCUUUCUUCCCCUGUUGCUUCCUUUGUUGUUCUCUUUUUCGGUUCUUUGGCCGUUCUUCUCCUUCGGUCUGUUUCUCGUUCUUUUUUUUUUCCUUCGUCUGUUUUUUCUUUAGCUCGUUUCUGUUUUUUCCUUCUUCUUCUUGUUCUCUCCCUCCCCCCUUGUCGGUCCCCCUGCGCCCUUGUGCGCUCUUUCCCGUGUUUGUUUCUCCCCUUUGAAAUCCUUUCUUGUCUCUUUUGCCCUCCGCCCUGCUUCCUUUUUUUUUGCCGCUUUGUCCUGGGUUCUUUGCUUGCUAUCCCCAUCCCUCUCCGUACCAUUAGGCGAUGGUAUUUUUUAUUUCCUCAUGUUAUUUGUUGCCUUCUUAUUUGUCUUUCUUUCGUUAAUCUAAUGUCAGGAGCUGUACCACGUAUUGAGAGGCCGUGUUAAUAGUAUAGGGUUUCAGCCAGAUGAACGCCUAAUACCGUUCUUGGAGUUAGCUGGGUUCGGAUCAGCAGCAUUGAUCCGGACUUUUGAUUUGCGAUAUGACUUGAUUUCCGCUUUAGUUGAGCGAUAGCGUCUAGAGACCCACACAUUUCAUUUGCCGUGCGGGGAGUGGACCAUUAUUCUAGAAGAUGUUGUAGUACAGCUCGGGCUGCCCAUCGACGGGAACGCGGUCAUGGGCUUAAGUUCGAUCUCCAGGCCGACAACCAUUUGCUAUGAAUUACUUGGACGCUCGCCAAGUUAGGGGAAAUUUGCCAGUUUGAGGUUUUCAUGGCUAAAGGUCAAUUUUGAGUAUUUGCCGAGUACCGCCAAUGAAUGAGAAGUGAUGCAGGUCGUUCGAGCUUACAUUAUGCACCUUAUAGGGGGUGUACUUAUGACGGAAUCAAACGGCAAUACUGUUGACUUGAUAUACUUACCCCUAUUAUCUAAUUUGCAUAACACCCGUUCAUACAGUUGGGGUCCACGGUGUUAGCCAUGUUGUAUCGAGAACUUUGUCGGACGACAGAUCCUUUUGCGAUGGACAUAGCCGGAUGCCUCAUACUGCUGCAGUCAUGGACACUUUACCGGAUGCCAUUAUUGGCAUCAAUUAGUCACCAAUCAAAUAUAUUUCCACUCGUUAAUAGGUGAUGAAUUUUUAUGCGUUAUAACAAUUAGUUGACUUUUUUUUGGAUUAUGUUGUUCUAACAAUUUUUUUCUUAGAUGGAGCACAAAUCCGGGUAUUGGAAAGUCAUACACUAUUCCAAUAUACCGUCUGAUGAUCGAGAAUCAUUCUAGAGAGGGGGUAAGUUUUUCCAAUAUCAAUUUUAUUUUAUUAUUUUAUUUCACUCGACCUAUGUUAAUAUAAAAAAUGUGAUUAACUGUGCAGUUCAUUUGGAUGCAGUAUUCUGUUCUAGAAAUUAUGGCGGUUAUUCCAUCGCCUGUCCGCGUCCACUCAAACUUAUGGUGCAUUAGCACACCCGUUAUCAAUUUUCAGAUAGUGGAGCGGUAUAAUGGCGAUCAAGUACUUCGGCAGUUCGGUUGCAUUCAAUAUAUCCCGAGUCCGCCAGUACGAUUGGGGGAUAUCUAUGGGAUGACCAGGAGGGGGAGGCAUGAUCUUGAUUGGGGAGAUGAGCAUGACGAAUAUGUUACGAUGUGGAACAACCGGUUUGGGAGGGUACCUCAGAUGGAUCGUGGCUUGGAUCUCCAGCCCUCGUUACAGUACCUACAGUGGUACUGUGAGAUAGGGAAACCAUUUUUGUUUGGUGGGCGGUCGAUGGUAGUCCCCCCGCAUACGACACGAAUUGGGCAACAUUUUCCAGAUCCGCAUCAUGCACCAAAGCCAGAGCUGGAGCUGGAACUACACUUUAGAGGUAGUUCUUAUCAUCCAGAUUUAGGGGGCGAUGUCUAUUUCUCGGGCUCCUCAGGCCAUGGAUAUCAUUCAAAGUUUGAUAUUUUCAGCCCACUACCACCUCAGUACUCCAGUCAUCUCGGCUUAUAUUUAUGUCAGUACUCUACUCCUUUCGGCCCGUAUCCAUCCACCCAUAUACUCAACUCCUCCGCAGGUUUGUAAAGAAGAAUUCCCACGACUCCAUAUUCUCUUUAUCUAUGACGGCAAAUGCAAUCGAGAGCACGUUAUUGUUCCCAUCCUGAGCAAUCGCUAGAAGUAAGAUCUGUGUAUAUUUACCGUAUAGCAUUGUCCCAUCUACUUGCACAAACGGCUUGCAGUGGGGAAAUGCAUGUACACAUGGAUCAAACGUCCAGGACAUCCGUUGAAAAAUUCUUUUUCUCGGUUGUAAUUGCUCAUCCAGGCUGUAAUAAGGUUGUGUCUGCAACUCAAUGGCAGUCCCUGGUACGUACUCCCUCAUAGCGGCAAUCCAUCCCUGCAACUCAUUAUAUGAUGUAUCAAAAUCUCCGUACAAUUGCUCCAUUGCCAUCUGUUUAGCUAUCCAUGCCUUCCAGUAUGACACUCGAUACUGGAAUCAUGCCUGUAUUUCGGCAAUCAGUACCGAAACUUUAAUGGUCGGUAUGUCUUCAACCAUUGGCAUGAUGCACGUACAGAUAGUUUUUGAAUCAAGUUUUCGAUGAUCUUCUGUCAUACGUGAUGAAGUGCAUGUGUGAGGCCCAAUAAAUUUUCUUAUAUCCCAUAUCUGCGACUUUUGGAUAAAUGCAGCUCGUAUCCGCCAAUUGCAUCCUUCUGCCAGCUUCCAACACUCUCCAAUAUAUAAUGUCGAUUUAGACACGACGACUUUAUAGUCUACUGAUAUAUUCAUACUAUACCGUUUAAUGGCAAAUACACACUCUUCCUUAUUUUCGAAUCUCUGGCCCACGAACAACUCCUCAGGAUCAGAAUAUACGGCCACCCGAUGAGCAGAUUGUAUUUCAGGGUACUCUGGGAACUCGGCUACAUACGCCGCAUCGGGGUCUAUCCGAGACAUGUGUGCCCCAGGAUUAUUAUGUAUCAGAAUACGACAAAUCUGGUUCCCGACUGAAGACGCAUUAACAUUUACUUCCUCAUUCAUGCCUUCAUCGUCAAUAUCAUCCGGAACCUCAUCCACAUCGGGAUCACUUUCACUAUCGACUUCAUGAUCAGAAGGAUCACUACUAUGGUAUACAUCAUCACCAACCACAGUAGUCUCGGGUGCAGCAUUAAGAUCAAUGUCAAUCCCAUGUAUAGUUGAUUGACUACCAACGUAUGAUACCAGAACCACCAUACAAGGUUCUUGAGCUCCAUCUUCUUCACCUAAUGGAGUGGGAUCUUCAGUUUCCUCCACACCAGCUAACUCAGCAAAUAACUGAAUCGGUGUAUUUUGGUUGUUCCAAGUCCCACAAUAAAAAGCGACCAUUGUCUCUACGUCUUCAUCGUCUACAAGUUCCAUUUCGAUGAAUUUUAUGGGAUCCGUCGAAACUGGAAACUUGUAGAAAAGUUUCGAGAUCCUUCUCCCACAACGUUUAUAAAUUUUUUCACUAAUUUUUUCCUUCAUAUCAUCAAAAGAGAUAUUUCUAUUGAAUCUCAUUGCUACUUGUUUGCAACAUUUAAAUAUACAUCCUACGCUUGUUGUCAAAAUUUCUCCAUCAAAAUAAACGCAUACGAAAAACUGAUUCUCUAUAUUCAAUACUAGAUCUGUUAAAAAAAUUUCAAAAUUCUCAAAAUAGUUUCGAAUAGCAAAAAAGUUGCAUAAAAUUUUUAAUGCAAAAUUUUUCAUUCAGAAGCUAACAAAAUUAUUAAUCUAACAAACUUUUAAAUAAUAAAAUUUCUAACAAAAUUCUACAUUCUAUUUAAAAAUAAAUAAAUUAAAAUACCUUAUCAUUCUUCUUGCUUUCCUUUCUUUCCUUCUUCUCCCUCUCUUCUUACUUAUAUUUUGUUGCUAAAUUUUCUGUAUGUUCUUCAUCUGAUUUUCGGGGGAAUAUAUAGGAGAAAAAUUAAGCAUGUGGGCCCCACCAGUUGCGCCUACCAAGAAGGCACAACAUGUAUGUAUACUUUUCCCGUCCAUAUACACGAGUUGUAUACUAACCCGAAAAAAAUAUAUAUAAUAAUAAUUUUUUAAAUGAAAAAAAUUUAAUAUUAAAAAAAUCGGUUGGCCUGUCAGGUAGGCACGACCUAAAAAAAUAUAUCAUUUUUGUAAUUAAUUUGGCUGACAACUCAUUUUUGUGUAUAAAUUUUUUUUAUAAUAUUGAGGUAAAAAACUCACAAAAUAACAUCUCUUUUUUAGGAAAUAUAUAAUUUUAUUUAUUCAAGUGUAAUUGGUUUUUGGAAAAAGAAAACAUCACUCAGGUAAAUUUAUUGGUGAGUUAUGUGGCUUGGUAAGUGGCGGCUGUUAAUUUUGGGAAGGAGUGGACACCAAACAUCCAAAGGCUGGAAUUUAUUAAAUUGCAGUCUAUUUACUGUGAAAUAGCUAAAUUAUGAGAAUAGUCACUUUCUAUUUAACUUAGAUUAUAUUUUAAAUUAUUUAUAUUUAAAAGGGUUUUUUACCCUAAUAUUAUAAAAAAAAAUUAUACACGAAAAUGGAUUGUUAGUCAGAUUAAUUACGAAAAUGGUAUACUUUUUGGGGUCGUGCCUACCUGACAGGCAUAACCCAUUAUUUUAUUAUUAAUUUUUUUAAUUUUAAAAAAUUAUUAUUAUAUUAUUUUUAAUAUUUAUAUUAAUAUCUAGAUAAAAAUAUGAGUUUUAUACGGAUAAAAAAUACCCAAAACGGGUCGAGCUUGUCAGGUAGUCGUGCCAGACAGGCAGGCACAACACCCUGCACAUUUCAUUUUACAAAAAAAUUAGUCUUAUAUCACUUUUGGUCCCUCUACUAGGCCUAAAAUUAAAAUUCUAUUUUUAUACUUGAAUUUCUACAAUAAUAUUUGGUCCUAUUUUUUAUAAUUUUUUUAGCUAAUUAAUAUUGUUAAUUACUCUGAUAAAAUUUUUGACGUGUUUAGUUUAACAAAACAAUAAUAUGUUAAGCUGUGAUAAGUUUUAAAUAAUAAAAUUUCUAACAAAAUUGUAUUAAAAUUUUUGUUAAUUACUUUGAUAAAUUUUUUGAUUAGUUUAACAAAACAAUGAUAUGUUAAGUUGGAAUAAGUUUUAAAUAAUAAAAUUCCUAACAAAAUUGUAUUAAAAUUUUUGUUAAUUACUCUGAUAAAAUUUUUGACGUGUUUUUUUAAACAAAAUAUUAGUUUAACAAAACAAUGAUAUGUUAAGUUGGAAUACAUUUUUGUUAGAAAUUUUAUUAUUUAAAACUUAUUACAGCUUAACAUAUCAUUAUUUUGUUAAACUAAACACAUCAAAAAUUUUAUCGUAAUUAACAAUAUUAAUUAUCUAGAAAAAAUUAUAAAAAAUAGGACCAAAUAUUAUUGUAGAAAUUCAAGUAUAAAAAUAGAAUUUUAAUUUUAGGCCUAGUAGAGGGACCAAAAGUGAUAUAAGACCAAUUUUUUGUAAAAUGCCUGUCAGGUAUGCACGACCCCAAGAAGUAUACCAUUUUUAUAAUUAAUCUGGCUGACAAUCCAUUUUCGUGUAUAAUUUUUUUUAUAUAAUAUUGGGGUAAAAAACCCAUAUUUAAAAAUUACAUUUUUAUAUUUUAAUUAUUUAUAUUUAAAAGGUUAUAUUUUAGUCAUUUGCUUUAAUCUAUUAUUAUAUUCUAGUUACUGAACCGUUAAUUACCAUUAAUAUUAUAAUAUUAAAUUAAUAUGACACGUUAAAUCAUCUUUUGAAACAAAAAAAUUUAAAUUAAAUAAUACAAUUAAUUCUCAUAUUUUUUCAUUUUGAAUAAUUUAUUUUUUAUAUUCUUUUUAACUUUUUCUUUUUCAUUCUCUUUUACUUCUUCCUCUAUUCUCCUCCAUUUUUUAUCUCUUUUAAUCUAAUUUUUCUAUGUUUUCCAUUUUUUAAAUUAUAUAAAUAUAAUUAAAAUGUAAUCUGUAUUAAACAAAAGUGACUAUUUUAAUAAUUUACCAGCCAUUACCGGUUUUAUUUCAUUUUAUUAAUAUAAUUAUACUACAGUAGUUCAAAUUUAUUAAUAUAUUAUACUACAGUAGCUCAAAAUAUACAUGAUAAGGGAAAAAAGUGGAAAUGAUUUGCUAUUGCAUUACUUUCUCUAUCUAGAAACACUAAUGGUGGUUUGCUGUAUCAUAAUGCAAUCUUCUCAGAUUACAGUUCCACUAGGAAUCAAGGCAUCCUUGAUUACUGUCACAAUCCCACUCUUUAUGAAAUAUCCAUCGGUUUCCCUUGCCGCUUCUUGCACGUUUUCACUGUUUAUGAUCUGUAAAUACCAAACAUUCAUUAAACAAAUAGUUCCAAUUUUGUGAGUCAAUCAUAACUGCUGCAAAACUCUGUAUUUUUCCUUUUUUUUACUAUUGCCACCGACAAUUUCAUCACAAAAUUGGCUCAAGUGGUCUGUGAAACUCAUCUCUCUUUCCAAGACUCUGUUGAAACCAUAAAAAAAAUUAACAAGAUAAAAUCAUGACCUACCUUCACAUUGUCUCCAAUUCGAGCAUUCUUGUCAAUAAUGGCUCUCUUGAUAUGUGAGCUCUUUCCUAUACCAAUUGGAACACUGCCCUUUGCAGACAAAAACCUCCUGUCUGCAUCAGUCUGGAGAGACAAUCGAGAAAAUACAGAUUACUCAUGGUGACUCGCAGAUUGAAAAUGUGUUUAUAUAUAUAUUAACUCCCAGGUUAAGCUACCUCAUAAUAAUCUGCUCCCAUUAGUAAGGUAUCUUCUAUGAUUGCACCCUCGGAGAUGCAAGAUCGAAGACCAACCACAGAAUGGUGAAUUUUACAGUUCUGCAAUCAACCAAAAUAUCCGGACCAUUAGCUACUAAAAGUACUCUCUAAUUCCCAUUUAGCCUGUGAACUUUAGUAACCAUCUCCAACUAGAAAAAAAAAACCAAACAGAUUAUCAACCUAGCCCCAAGGAACUCACCUUAAUAACGCAACCCUCACCGAUAACACUAUCUGUAACAUCAGCAUCAAGCAUUUUGGAUGGUGGCAAAUAUCGAGGCUGUGUGUAGAUUGGAGACGAACGGUCAUAGAAGCUUGGAAGAAAGUUCAAAACCAUUAAGGCAAUUAAAUAGAUUACCAAGCUAGUCAAAUGAGGAUGCAUUGAUGAACCAGAAAUACCUGAAAUCCGGCACUGGCUUUUUGGUGAUUCCCAGAUUUGCGUUAUAAAAUGCCUCAAUCGUACCAAUGUCCUCCCAGUAGCCAUCAUACAGGUAAGCUUGCACCUAGAUAGGUUAACAAGCAAUUAGACCUCCUAAAUUAGUAAUUCCAUGCGAUUAGAAGAAAAAUCAUUGUGACAAGAUAAAUGGACCCCGUCAUGCAAAACAUUCUAACACCGAAGCUUCGGUCAAGCAUACAUAAUGAACAUACUGUAAGAGUCUAGGGUAUGCUCCAUGAAUGAGAGUACAAUUUCACUCAAACUGCUCACAAAAUGAAUGUAUAUUUGGCAAUGAUCUUAUUGUUCAAAACUGUUCAUUGCUAGAAACAAGACAAGACCGGAUUCAAUCUCAAGAUUGUUCAAAUUCUUAUUAAUGCUGCAAAAGUGGCUUGGUGAAUAAAGAAGUACCAGAUAAGAUGCCAUAUAUAUCAAUUGUCAAUCUUAAACAAGAUAAAAAAGAUGGGUUACCAUACACUGAAAAGCAAACACACAAACUACCUUACUUUGCACAUAAGCCAUUCAUAGGGAGGGAUCUGUGAAAAGUAUACUUACCCUCAUCCCAAUGGAAGUAGCACCUGGAAUUAUUUCACUUCCAAAAUCAUUGGCUCCCGGAAACUGGUCUCGAAGAAGAUUCAACAUCACAUUUUUACUCACAACAUAUAUGCCCAUGCUAGCAAUGAAAGGCAUUUCUUUUGCUCUCUCAUCAUCAAGCCCUAAAAUUGUAGUAUCAACCUAAAACAACAACAUCAAAAUUAGAACCAGAAUUAGACCUUGAACUUGAACUAGAAGAAAAAUAAUAACAGCUCGUAAGUCUAACUUCAAUACUUCAUGUUUGAAUCUCAACUGAACGAGGAUACCUGCAUAGCUUUUAGCUGGUCGCCUUUUGGUUUCUCAGCGAAUUCGAUGAUUCGUCCUUCUUCGUCAAUCUUCAUUAAACCAAACGCAGUAGCCCGUUUUUCAUCCAUCGGCAAUGCAGCUACAGUGAUGUCGGCAUCAGUCUCUCUGUGCGCCUGAAUAAACCUUUCAUAAUCCAUUCUAUAUAAAUGGUCCCCAGCAAGAACCAAGAAUUCCAAAACAUUAUGCUCCUCAAACAACCACAAAUACUGCCUCACCGCAUCCGCUGUCCCCUGCAUAAUCAAACAGAAAUCAUUUUACAAAUCAAAAUACAAAAAGCCAGAAAGAAUUUAAAACCCAUUUCAGUAGCAACUAACCUGGAACCAGUUCGGGUUCUCAGGACUCUGCUGAGCAGCAAGAACCUCGACGAACCCUUCGUUCUUGUAGCCACCCAUGUUACUAGCAUAAGCGCGGGAAAGGUGGCGGUUCAGAGAAGCAGAAUUGAAUUGAGUCAGAACGUAGAUUUUGGAUAUGUUACUGUUCAAACAAUUGCUAACAGGGAUGUCGAUUAGUCUAUAAUUUGCUCCUAAUGGAACAGCCGGCUUAGCUCUCUUCUUUGUUAGUGGGUACAGCCUUGUCCCUGCUCCACCUCCCAAAAUAAUCCCCAAAACACUCUGCCAAAAACAAUCAAAUUUCCAAUUUUCAACAACAACAAAAAAGAAAAAAGUCUCACUUUCGGAUCAGACAAAAGAUUCAGAGAGAUAAGCUAAGACUUACUCGACUAGCGUCGGGGUCAAGACAUGUCUGCGAGUUCUUGGAAUCUGAAACUGCUUUCGGUGAAACAAUUGAAGCAGUCCGUUCCGUUCGGCUACAACCAGUAGCUAUUUUGAAAACAAGUUUAUCACCGGACAGAGCAGACGCCGAGAACGACAAGCUCCAAGGAGCCGAUGACUUACGGCUCGAACAAACUGAAGAAGCAUUGAACGAAGCUGUAGAAGGCAACCUCAAAUCACCGAUGGCAGCCAUGCUCACCAUUUGUUUUGCCCGGAUUUCACUCUAAUUGCAACGAAAAGAUGCAGGUGGAGUGGCAUUUUUAAGGUGGAAAGAGGAAAGGAUCUGAAAUCGAUCACACCUCGGGAAUGGAUUUGCCAUUAUUUUUUGAUAAAAUUACAAGCUUCACCUUCGAAGAUGGUUGAUUUGUUUCAGAAGAAGGGUGUUAUUGUAAUUACGUAAUAAUUAAAUUGAUAUUUUAAAAGACUAAGAAUUAAUAAUUGGGUGGCUGUCAUUUCACAAGCAGACAUCAGUCACAUGAUUAUAGCAUAGAUCGGAGACAUUAGACACCGUCCGUUUUAUGACCUUUUUUUUUCAUUUUAAGUAAUAAACCAAAAAAAAAAAAACCUUCUGAUCAAAUUUUCAUGCAUGUCGAAUUUUUAACAUAAAAUAUAAUUAUAAUAUAUCAUUUAUUUAAAUAAUUAUUUUAUUAAUUUUAUACUUUUUAGAUUAAUUCGGUUUAAUCAGUAUUAUUAUAAUAUAUCUGAAUAUGUUAAAUAGAAAUUAUAAAUAGUUUAUAAAAAUAUAUUUUUAUAUUGGAAUUCUUUAGAGUAUGCAUGUGAAAAGUGAAGGCAAAAAGAGCAUGAAUCACGUACGCUGAUAAUUUUUUUUAAAUUGGUAAUCCUUACACGUGACUUUGCUAGAUUUCUUUCACAUCAUUUUAUUAUAUUAAUAUUAAUAAUAAUGAUAAUAUAUGAAUAAAUAUAUACAUUUCCUAUUAGUUUAUACCUCCGAACCAUCAUCUGCAACAUGAUAUUGUUUAAUGAACUAAGAUUACAGAAUGUUAUGAAAAAUAAAUUUAAUUUCGUAUAUAUAAAUUAUAUUAAUCGUACUCGUUAUAAUUUCAUCUGUAGUAAUGCAUAUGGUAAGUUUAGGAGAUAUCUGAGCAGUAAAUUUAUCAUUAGUAAAUUGAGAGGUCGCCUGUGAGCUCACCCUCCCGAGAGGACUAUCUGGGUAAUAAUUGGCCUGGUGUUCAUUGAGAACAUAAAAUCGUUUAGUCACUAAAUAUCACAUAAACUCAACUAUUUUAUUCCAUCAAAGUCAAAAUAAAAGAUAGUGUCUGUCUUGUCACAAACAUCUCGUCUUAUCAAAGAUGAUUAGAUAGCAAGUUCAACAUGAUAACACCGUAUUAUUUUCCCAGAAGGAUUUAGCUGUAACUUCCUCCCUAGUUUUGGAAUUUGAAGGGACAUCAUCUCCCGAGUCACCCGAUUGUGCGCCAGCAUCAGAAUCACCAUCGAAUUCAUAGACCCUGCACAAACAUUCAAUGUUAGCAACGAAAACACAACUCAACUAAAUUAGCAAAGCUCAUGAAAUGGCCUUAAGUUUAGAAACUGUGAGAGGAAACAUAAUAACAAGAGGAGGAGAAUAAGAAGAGCCCCAUAUAGUAGAAAGUAUGCCAACAGCAGCAACAAUGGCCUGAGGAGAUGAAGGUUCUCGGGCAAGAGAAGUGGUGGCCAAGCCAUCAGUAAUGGUGAACAGAUGGGUAAGGUUGUCCACGUCAAGGAUCAGCCUUAGCGGUACUAUUACAAAAAUUAAAAAUAAAUUAAAACAGACAUGGAUCAUUUAUUGAUCCCGGCUUGUCGUGUUAAAAAAUUCCAUUGAAAGUGUACAGAAUAAUAACCCUUAUAUAUUCUUUUAUAUAUAAAUAUCCUAAUUAGCUAACUUCACAUCAUCAUCCCUUAUGUAUUCUUUUUCGAUGUAAAAUAUUUAUUCUAAAGGUAUGUAUUUCUUUUUACUUAGAGAAAUAUUUUUUUAAUCUUUAGAAAUUUACUUGCAAUAAAAAAUUUAAAUUUAUUUAUAAUAUCAUUAAUAAAAUUAAAUUUAUACAAAUUUAUAAAAUAAUUUUAAUAUAAUUAAAAUAUAUAAUCAAACUUGUGCAUCGUUAGGUAAAAAACUAAUAAUUUAAUAUUUUUAUAGUUAUAAUAUCAUUAAUUUAAAUAGUUUAAAGGUAUUUGCAUUUUAAACUUUUAUCUAUCUAAACUAUUAUUUAAGUUUUUAACUGAGUUGGUGUGGUGGGAUUUGAACCCAUGCUAUGUACAUUACUAAAAUAUUAAUUUUACCACUAAAUCAAAACUUUAUUAUAAUAAAAUAUGUAUAUUUUUAUUGUAUUAUGCAUGCUCCGUUAUCUUCAUCAAUUGCAUAUUUAUACUAUAUAUAAAAUAAUUUACUGAGUUGAUAUCAUGAGUCAACUUGGCACCUAUUCAAUUAUGAAAUUACUAAAAUAUUUUUAUUUUAAAGGGUAAUUAAUAAUUUUAUAAUGAUAUUUUAGUCUUUUCAUACUUUUAGAUAAUUUUCAAAUAAAACAAUUGAAAAACAUUCUUUAAAAAUCAAACAUAAUAUCAACAAAUUCAAGUAAAAAUCUAUUACCACUCUAUCAAUAAUAAUUUUUUGAAAUAAAUUUAUAAAUAAUUUUUUUUUAAUAUAAAAUAUUUUCAUUCACCCACAUCGUGAGUGUAAUAAAAUCUAGUAUUGACAAUAUUGUUGAUUGAGUUGGUAGCAUAAGUCAACUCCACACUAAUUUAAAAUUGAUAAUAAUGUCAUAAUAAAUUAUUGUAACACAUUUAUUAUUCUUAAUAUCAGAUAUUUACUUAUUUAGAUUUCAUUUUAUACAUAAUUUAAUGUAUUUUUCAUUUUAUAUGUUAUUAUUUCAAACCAUCCAUUUCAUUAUUUAUUAUAUGUUAUUAUUAAACUAAUAUUCGUAUUUUAAAUACAUAAUUUUCAUUCAUAAAUGGAUUGAUAGAAUUUCUAAUUUGAAUUAAAUAAUUAUAUUAUAAGAAUAAAAAUGUGAAAUUAAAAUAUAAUAUUUUAAAUGAAAAAAAUUGGUAUUAUAGUACUUUUUUUAUUUUACAAAAAAAUUUAAAUUUUUUUUAAAUAUUUUAUCUUGAUCUUAUACUACACUUGUUAACUAAAUAGUCUAAAAACUCUACUCUACCAAAUAUUUUCCAAAAAAAAAAUGAAGAAGAAGAGAAAUUCAAUAAGCAAAUGCAGAAAUGGGGAUGGAACGGCAACGGGCUUAGGGCAGCGGGUGGGUUAGACGAUGUAGGCUCGUGAAAUGUGCGGUUGUUUUGGUGGAUGUAGUUGAUAGCGAUGAAAGGCAUGGGGCCGACGGGAGUGGAUCAGAGAUGGGGUGGGGGUUCAAAUAAAAACAAAACAGGGGAUUUGUACAUUCUAAUCGAGGUUUGAAGUCGACGGCUAUCCAUUGCUGUGCGAUAAAUCAGGGAGAUGUUGAUAUACACUUUCAAAUCUAUAAUUUGCUACUGCAACAAUCUUAUACUAACCGUUGGUUUUGGAAAGGCCAAUUAUUUCUCAAGAAGUAAACAUCUUAUUAAUAGGCUUUAAAUGGAAUAGAUUCAUUUUUUUGAGUAAAAUAAUAGAUAUAUAUUUUUUUAAGCACAGAUAAAUUUAUUCAUUAUUUAUAGUACUGUACUAUAUUCAUUAUUUAAAUAAACGCUUUUGAGGUCAAAUUUUGGGUAUUUUGAAUGGCAUGAUUAUUUCGUUUAGUAAUGAUUUUAAUCGAGUUGUGAUUUAUACUGAUAAUUUGGAAGUAGUUCAAGCCUUACAAGAUAAUUUCUUGGGGGAUUCAGGUAUUACAAUUUGCAGGAGAGUCCAAAAGAUCAUGAAUACGGAAGUGCGUUGGAUGAUUCGACAUGUUCUCAAAAAAGAUAAUCGUGUUGCUGAUUGUUUGGUUAAAUUGAGCUCAGAAAAGAUGACAGGUCUCCAAGUUUAUGACGAGUGUCUUCAUGAUGCCUCAAAAAUUCUAAUUCAAUAUAAAGCUAGAAGAGCGAUUGAUCAACUUAAUCUGAUAUAAUAAUUGUUUAUUUGUUUAUUUCAACCAAAAAAAAGUUCUAGCAUAGUUAAAAUUUUGGUAAAUGUCAUAUUUAAUUUUUUGAUACAUCAACAAUAAAUUAAUUCACGGUUUAAUUUUCUCUCUCAAUUUAAAAUAUUUUGAUAUUUUUUAUUUGAGUAUUAAAUAAAGAAUAAUAUUUUGUAUAUUGUCAAAAUAAAAAUUUAGACUCCACAAGUAAAGUUAAAAGAAAACUAGUGUUGACUGAUAAAAACGGAGAAAUGAGAAUUGAAUCAGAAACUAAAUUGAACAAAUUAGAAGUAUGAGGGAUUAAAACAAUUAAAAAGCGCAGUGGACUAAAUCAAACAAAUAAUAACUUACAUUCAAAUAAAAAUAUUAAUUGAAUCAACAUUAAUGCAUAGACUUAUGUUUUGUAAAAAUGAAUAUUUAUUUGUUAUGAAAUUUACUUUAUAUAUUUAGAACUACUGUUUAUAAUUAAUUUUCAUUUGGAAAUUAAAAAUUUUAGCACUUGAUAAUUGAAAUUUACAUCUUAAAAUUAAAAUUUGUUAUUCUAAUAAGGGUAUUAAUAGAUAUGAUAAAAUGUUGUUUGUAAUUAAUUCGUGCUUCAAUUUGAUAUUAAUAAAAUUUAGGAAAAUGAGUUAUACAGAAAUUAUUUAAAUAGUUUUAAAACCGUGUUUUAUUUAUAAUAUUUUUUUUAAAUAACAAAAUUUCAACUUCAAAAAUUUUGGAUAAAGGUAAACUGUCAAAAUAGUCACUUUUAUUUAUCUCAGGUUACAUUUUAGUCACUUAUAUUUGAAAUGUAACAUUUUAGUCACUGAGCGUUAAUUCCUGUCAACGGUGUAACGUUAAGCUCACGUGACAUGUUAAAUCAUCAUUUCAAACGAAAAUUUUAGCUUAAAUUAUACAAUUAGUCCCUGUAUUUUUUCAUUUUGAGCAAUAUAUUUAUUUUUAUGUUCUUUGAACUUUUUUUAAAAUUUUCCAUUCUCUUCUCAUUCUCCCUCUGUUUUCCUCUCUCCUUCAUUUCUUUUAACGUAGUUUUUUUCUAUAUUUUCCCUUUAUUAAAACUAGACCCUAUACUUUUAUUUUUUUUGAGCAAUUUAUUUUUUUCUUUUUAUUUCUUUCUUUUCAUUUUCUUCUUUCCCUCUAUUUUUCUCUCUUCUCAUAUUCUUCACUGUAGAAACAUAAUCUUUGCCCACCAAAUAAACUAUAUCAUUGUUUCUCACAUAAUUCCUAAAUUAAAUUUCACUAAAAAUAAAAUAUCAAUCAUUGUUAAUUAAAUCUUGACUUGAAUAUAACCUAAUUUUGAAACUAAAAUUGAAUCUAACUAAUCAAUAUAAAAAAAACCAUAUCCUGAAUCAAAUCUAAACAUAAAUUUAAUUCUUUAUAUUCAAAACAUUUUUUCCAUUUCCAAACUUUUAAAAAUCGUGUAGAUUUUUCCUUUCCAUUCCUUUUAUUUUCUGACAAAUAAAAUUAAGAAAAUGAUAAAAUUGAUCUAAAACUUCUUGGAUAUUUCCAAGCAAGCUUGAUUUAAACCCGAGCAUGGAUGAACCGAAGAGAGAAAGGGAGCAUGGAACCAAAUUGGUUUGGGUAAAGUUGAUGGUAAGUUUUGCAUAAUGAUCAUUUUAUUCAUUGAGAGUGCAGAGCUCGUUUGAAGAAUCUGUGAAACAAUGUAAUUUCAAGAAGGCGAGAAUAUUGUAAGUAGGAUAGAUAAGAUGGUUGUGGGGGUUCAUCAGGAGGUUAAGGGAAUAGGCUCGAGAAACUUUGUUGAGGGUGGACUGCCAUAAGUCACGACUAACGAGAUCUUUGAGUGAGUUAAGCUUGUGGACUAAGUCAUUGAGAGAUCCAAAUUGGUUUGUUAAAGGGAUGAUGGACGAUGAGUGUAACAGCCUAAUUUUCAGUGGUGUCAAAACAGUGAUUCGAGAUCACUAAAUCCGACAAAUGAAUAGGAAAUAUUAUUAAUUUAGUGAGUAUAAGUUAAAUCUGAAGUUAGGAAAAAUUUUGAAAUAGUGAAUAGUGUACUAAAAAUAAAUAUUAAAAUAAUUAGAAUCGAAAACGAGGUAUCGAGAACUCGAGAAUUUUAAAUGGAGCCAUAAAUAUUUUUAUAAAUAUUUAUGGAGUGUUAAUAAGUUAGUAUUAAAGUUUCGUCAAGAAAUUUUAAAGUUCUGAUAGUUAAUUGAACAAAAAAGACUAAAUUGUAUCAAAUACAAAAUUGUGUGAAAUGAUUAAAUAGCUUAAAUGAUAAAAUAAAGAGGGUUUAAAAGGCAAAUAAACCCAAGGUCUCUUUGGGCUGGACAGCAAGGGCAUGAAAUCAGCAAGAAAAUAAGGAGAAUUAAGGGAAAAAUUGGAAAAUUACAAAAUUUACUUAAUAAAGCUAGGACUAAAGUGGAAUUAUCUAGAUUACUCUUUAUUUUUCUAUAUUCUCAUCAGCAAAAACGCCAUGGAAGAGUUCCCUUAAGCUGGUUUUUCAUAUUUUUACUUCAAGUAAGUUCAAUUCCUGAUUAUUUCUUAAAUUUUUUGUGUUUUUGUGACUUUUACAACUAGGUCCACUUGUUGAAUUCAUUAGUUUUUGAUUCUAUGAAAGAAAUUGAAAGUUUCUAUGAAUAUGUGCUGGAAUUAUAUGAUGAUUUGGCAUGGAAUUAGAGCUUUAAAUUGUUUAUAUGCUGAUUUUAUUGAAAGAAUUGAAUAGAAAGUGAAUGUUUGGGACCUAAUUGUAAAAGAGUUUGAAGUUAGAGUUUAUGUGGAAAUUAUGGCUUUCAAUAGUUAUGAAAUAACUUAUAAUGUCUAGUAAAAUUAUUAAUUGAGAAAAUUAUCUUAAUUGAGGGGUUAAUUGAGCAAGGACUGAAUUGUAUGAAUUGUGAAAUUUGGGGCAAAAUGGAAAUCAUCAUUUUGCACUAAAAUUGUUUUGGACAACAACAGUAGUCUAACUUUGAAAAAUCACCAAAAAUUGUAUAAAUGGAAUUAGAGGAUGAAUAAAAUAUAAAAUUAAAGCUUGUUGAGUCUAGUUUCUUAUAGAAGAAAUGGUGUAAGCAAUAGAAUUGUAAAUCAUGAGAUAUGAUAAAUUUUGUGAGACAAGGUCAGAAUGAUUUUGGGUUCUCCUGUUCUGAAUUUUUAAAAUCAUAAAAAAUUGUAUAAAAAUAAUUAGGGGCUUAAAUUUAUAUUUUUAGAAUCCUGAAUAAGUCAAAUGGGAACAUCAUUCGAAUCCUGUACUAGGAGAUAAUUAAUUUUUAGUGAAGAAGGGUCGAAACUGUCAGACAGCAGAAUAGGGGAGACUUCAAUGAAUAAACUGUAUUAAUUGGCCCAACCAAAAAUUAUGAAAUUUUUAUGGUAAGAAGAUAUUGAGUCUAGUUUCAUGGAAAAUUAUCGGAUCUUAAUUUGAAGUUCCGUAGCUUCAGAUAUAAAUAAUUUAGUGACUAUGACACGGGUGGAUAGCUUGAAUAUUCACAUAAGUAAUUAGUGAAAAUUAUGGAUAAGGUUACUUACAAGUGUGUUAUUUAUACCAAGGAUGUGGAUGGAGAGGAGGAGGAGGAAAAAUAUAUGAAUGACUCCUAUAUAAAUUGAUCACAUGCCCGAUUAUAAUCGAUAAGUGUUGGAUUAGAAAUGAUAUAAUGUUUUAUUUGGAAUAUUUAUUAUGAAAUUAUGAUUAUCGUUAUAAUACAAAAAUUGAACUUGUGAGUUUAUAUGGCUAAAUUUUAGUGAUUAUUUGUUAAUUUUAUGAAUUUCAUGAUGUGUUAUUUCAUAUGUAUUGACGAUAAAAUCGUGAAUAAUGUAAAAGCAUGAAAAUUGAAUAAAUGAUCAAAUUGAGCAUUUCAAUUCAGUGACAAGAUGAAUUGAAGGAAAAGAUCAUGGUUUGACCAUGGCAACAAGUGAUAAGUGAUAGCUUCGGCUACACUUAUCUGAUCAAAGACAAGUGAAAGUGAUAAGUGAUAGCUUCGGCUACACUUAUCUGAUCAAGGACAAAUGACAAGUGAAAAGUGGUAGCUUCGGCUACCUGAUCAGUGAAAAGUUGUAGCUUCUGCUACCUGAUUAGUGAAAAGUGGUAGCUCCGGCUACCUGAUCAGUGAAAAAUGGUAGCUCCGGCUACCUGAUCAGUGAAUAGUGGUAGCUUCGGCUACAAGUGGCAAGUGAUUUCCGUAUAAGACCAUAUCUGGGAUAUGGCGUCGGUGUGAUAUAUGCUACUGUAUAAGACCAUAUCUGGGAUAUGGCAUCAGUGAGAUAUGUGAUUCGUGUAAGUCCAUAGCUGGGCUAUGGCAUCGAUAUGUGAUAUGUGAUUACGUGUAAGACCAUAGCUGGGCUAUGGCAUCGAUAUAUAAAUAUGUGUAAGACCAUAGCUGGGCUAUGACAUCAUUAUGUGAAGAUGUGUAAGACCAUAGUUAAACUAUGGCAUCGAGAAAACGAAUUACUAAAUUCCGUAAGACAUUCACUAAUUUGACAAAGUUUGGUAAGUAUUACAUGGAAUUAUAUGAUACAAGGAAGUACGAGUUGGUAAGAUAUGAGUAUAGAAUUUGGUUUAUAAAUGAAUUCAUUUGUGAUUAUAUAAUUGUUCAUCUUGAAUGUACUGUCCAUAUGUAUUGAUAAUUCAAAUGUUUUAAUGAAUAAAGUUCCGACAUGGAAUAAAUUGAACGCGAGACAAAUAAUUAUGAAAUUGAACUCGGAAUUCAUGAAAAUGACGGUUAUUGAUAUAUGGAGACAUGAGACAUUGAUUUAUGAAUAUGGAAAAUGUUUGAUAAAUGUGUUUAUUCAUAAUUAUGGAAUUAUAUACCUCACGUGUACUAUUUGUAUAAAGAUGAUAUUUCAAAUACUUUGGUUUUUUAAGCUUAAAUAUGAAAUAGUAUGAAAUCAAGAUAAGUUGUUAUGAAAAUAUAUUUAGAUUACAGAGAUAUGGCUGAUAUAUGUUGUAUGAUUACAUAACGUGAAAUUAUGUAUAUAUAUGAGAAAUUUAAUGAGAAUUGAGCCCAUACACGUUUCUUGUUAUUUAUAUGAAGUGUACGACUGACAAGGGUGAUGAAGUUAUAAACAGAGAGUUACACGGGUUGAAAACAUUGGCGUGUGACUCUCCAAAGUGUGAAAAUUUUCUAACUGUUGCAAAAGUUUCAUAUGUUUACGGUUUGGUCCAGAACCACCCUGAAUGUAUGUUUUGGGCCUCGUAGGCCCAUAUAAGGGACGUUAAACAUAUGUAUGAAAGUUUUUAAUUUAGAAGAAAUUUUAUGGCCAAUUUUUACAUGAUUGAUCUUAUUAAGUUCGGUAAUGCCUCGUACCCUAUUCUAGGCCGGGAAUACGAGUAAGGGGUGUUACAAUGAGUGUAAUGACCUGAAUUUUUACAGUUAUCAAAAAAGUGCAUUUUCGGGUCUCCGUUUCUAAAAAAUAGAUUUGUAAAUAUUUAUUAAAAAUAUUUACGAAGUUAAAAGAGUGAUUAAUUAAAGUUUAAUGAAGCAAAUUAGCUUAAAUAAAGGAUAAUUAGAUAAAAGAAUUAAAUUGAAUGAAGUGUGAAAGUUUAAUUAUAGAAUAAAGAAAAUUAAAAGGACUAAAUAAGUAAAUAAACCAAAAAGAGUGCCAAGUGUAUGGCAAAAAUAAAAUACAAGUAUAAUAAAUAUAAUACACACAUUUGUAAUACAUAUAUUUAUUUGCUUAUUAUUUAAGUAAAUAUUAAUGUAUUUAUUAUUAUUAAAUUAAUAUUAUAUGAUAAAUAAAUAAAAAGUUGACAAAUGUAUGGUAUGUAUAGUGAAAUGUGUGAUACUAAUAUACAUACAUUUGUAAAAUACAUGUAUAUUUACUUAUUAUAUAAGUAUAUUAUUAAAUUAUAUAUUAUUAUUAAGUAAAAGAUAUUUAUAUAAUAAAUAGAUUAAAGAAAGACAAAGGUAAUAAUAUAUGUGUAUACAAAUGUAAAAUAGAUAUUGGAUAUUAAAUAGGUAUUUUAUUAUAGCUAUUAUUAAGUUAUAAUAAUAUAUAUAUAUAUAUAUAAAGUAAAAGGAAUAAAAAAGAAAAAGAAUAGAAAAAGAAAGAAAGGAUGAAACGAAACAGAGAGCAGGGGAAAGAAAGAAGGAAGGGAAAAAAGAAAGAAGGAAAAAGGGAAAAAUUGGAUUUCAAGGCUUGAAAGUUAAAUAGGUAAGUCAAUUUAGCCCCUUUUUACUUAAUUUUGAUGUUUUGGAAGCUUUGGGACAAGAUUUUGAUGAAAUUAAGUGAAUAUUUUGAAAGUUAUUAGAUUUUUAAAUAUUGUUCAUGUUGAAUAAAAAGAUGAAUUAGGGGUUAGAUUGAUAGGAAUUCAAGUUAGAAAUGAAAUAAGGAUUGAAUUGUAAAUUAAUUAAUAAGUUUUAUGUUGUAGGGACUAAAUUGAUGAAAUUUCGAAAUUAGGAAAAUAUGCUGGAAAUUUAAUAGUUAAAUAUGAGUUUAGUUAAAAAUUGAGUAGAAAUAAAAUAUGAAUUAAGAUAGAAAAGUAAGUGAAUUUAGUUAGGAUUAAAUUGAAAUUAAAAGUAGAAAAUCAACAUUUUGCACUAAGACUAUUUUGGACAGCAGCAGUAGUCUAAGUUUGAAAAAUAACCAAAAAUUGUAGAAAUUGAAUUAGAGGAUUAAUAAAAUAUGUAAUUAAAGCUUAUUGAGUCUAGUUUCUUAUAGAAGAAACGUUGUAAGCAAUUGAAUUGUAAAUUAUGAGAUAUAAUGAAUUUUGUGAGACAAGGUCAGAAUGAAUUUGGGUUCCCCUGUUCUGACUUUGAAAAAUCACCAAAAAUUGAAAAAAAUAAUUAGAGGCUUAAAGUUAUAUUUUUAGAAUUCAUAAUGAGUCUAUUUUUAGGAGAAAUCAACGAGAAUAUUAUCCGAGUUUUGUACUAUAAGAUAAUUAAUUUUUAGUGAAGAAGGGUCGGAACUGUUAGACAACAGAAUAGGGGUGAAUUUAAAGAAUAAACUGUACCUAAUGGCUAAACUAAAAAUUCUUAAAAUUUUAUGGUAAGAAUAUAUAUGAGUCUCGUUUCAGGGAAAAUUAACGGAUCUUAAUUUUGAGUUCCAUAGCUCGAGUUAUAAAUAAUUUAGUGAGUGUGACACAGAUGGACAGCUUGAAUAUUCAUAAAAGUAAAUAAUAAAAAUUAUAGAUAAUGUUACUUACAAGUGUGUUAUAUACACUAAGGAUGUGGAAUGGAGAGGAGGAGGAGGAAAAAUAUGUAUGAAUAUUCAUCUAGCAUGGUUAAUUUGCAUGUUUUAGGCUCAGGGACUAAAUUGAAUAAAAGUAAAACUUUAUGGGUAAUUUUGUAAAAAUGUCAGAAAUGACCAAAUUAAAUGAAAUGGAUUAUUUUAUUAUUUAAAUUACAAAAUUGAAUGAAAUUAUUAAUUUAGUUCAAGAUCGGGGGAAAAUAUGUUUUAGGGAUUAAAUUGAAAAGUGUUGAAAUUAUGAAAAAUUCUUAUAUUUUAUAGAAUUCAUGGAUUGUUAUCAAUAUGUAUGAGAAUAAUAUCUAGAAAUAAAGAUUAAAUUGCAGGAAUUUUAUUUUCCUGACCCUAAAGAUGAAAUCGUCAUUAAUUAAAAGCCUAGCGGCAAAAUGGUAAUUUUUCCUAGAGCAUUAAUUAAAUGCAUUAGAAUAUGAAAUGAAUGAAAAUGAUGAUCAAAUUUAUUUAUAAAGAUCCGGACGACUCAAAAAUGAGACUUGAUCGUGGAAAAUAAAAGAUAUCGGAUUAAUGAAAUUAUAAACACAAACAAGCAAUGAGGUAAGUUUGUGUAACUUGAAUUGUAUUUUAAAUACUUGAAAUAUGUGGUUAUGUAAUGAAAAUAUGAUUUGAAUGUUCAAUUCAUGAUAAUUGAUGAAAUAUUGCUAAUACUCGAUAUAAAUUGAAAAUAAAGCCCGGUUGAAUGAAAGGAAAAUUCGAUAGAUCUCUGAAAAGGAAUUGACGGUAAAAAGGAUCUAGCCCGGACGAGUGAUCCUAUUCUGAUACAGCCCUCCCAAAGAAUACGUGUAAAAUGGAUUUAGCCCGGACGGGUAAUCCGAAUUAGGGUCUGAAUUUAGCCUGGACUGGUAAUUCAGAUCCAAGCUCAUUAGAGUAAUUGUCGUUGCAGGGGAUUUAGCCUGGACUGGUAAUCCCGACAAUACUCUAUGAGUUUAUAUUACAGGGGAUUUAGCCUGGACUAGUAAUCCCACUGUAAGGAUGAGGUUCGCGGGAGUGUGCUCUCUGAUAUGAAAAGAAUAAGACCAUUGUUGAAAGAUACCACGGCAACCUGAUAUGAAAUGUGUAAGACCAUGGUUGAAAGAUACCAUGGCAACCUGAUAUGAAAUGAAUAAGACCAUGGUUGAAAGAUACCAUGGCAACGUGACAUGAAAAGAAUAAGACCAUGGUUGAAAGAUACCAUGGCAACAUGACAGAAAAUGAAUGAGUAAGACUAUAGUUGAAAGACACUAUGGCAUCAUGUCAAAGAUAAAUAAGACCGUGGAUGGGAGACACUAUGACGUCUAUUGAACAAUUGAUAUUCUGGUAAUACUUAUCAGAUGACGAAUGGUUAUAUGAAAUGGUUGUGUGAAAUGUUUACAAGAACUGGUCAUAUGGAAAUAUAUGUACAAAAUAGUUGUAUGAAAUAAUUAUGAAGAUAAAUAAACGAAAUAAGUAUAAGUACAUGGAAUAUAAUUUAUGUCAAGUUUGAUAUAAACUAUUACCGGAAUAAAUAUACAUAAAAUAUAUGGAAAUGAUAGAGCAUGAAAUAUUGAUAUAAUGAAAUGAAUGAUAUAUGCUUAUGAAGAAACGGUAAGAGCAUGAUAUGUUUCAUGACAUGUACAUAUAUGAUUAUCUUUGAUAUGUUGAUACAAGAAAAUUAUGUAAGUUGAGACUAUUAUUAAACUCAAGUCGAUAUGUAGAGGAAAUAAGUAUAUCAAUGUUGAAUUUAGAUGAAAUGUGUGCAAGUAUACUAACAAUGAUGUUGUUUGACGCUUAGACAAGUGACAACCUAUUGAUGCAAGUAUACUAACAAUGAUGUUGUUUGACGCUUAGACAAGUGACAACCUAUUGAUUGAACGGUAACAUGUUUAAUUAUAAGGAGCAUUGAAAUAGUAAGUACUUAAAUAAAAAUAAAAUUUAAGAUUUUGCGAAAAUUUUUUUAUAAUCCCGAUUUAAUUCCGGUUGGUUUCUAAUGUAUGUUUGGGGCUUCGAGGGCCCAAUAGAGAGACGUUAUGAUUAUUUCUAAAAUAUGAAUAAUAAAUGACUCAGAAUUAUCUGAAAAUGUUCAGUAAACUCCGGUAAUGCCUCGUACCCUAUUCCGGCAAUGGAUACGAGUAGGGGGUGUUACAAUGAGAGUUUGUAAUUGUGAGGUGAGAAUAUGCGGAGUAAGUUUUAUUUUGGUUUCAACUUCAUCUUUUCUUUUGUCAUAAAAAUAAAAAAGUUUUAAUAAAUAGAAAAUGUAGAAAAACUAAGUUAAAAAAUAUGGAGAAGGGAAGAAAAUAGAGGGAGAAGUAGAAGAGAAUGAGAAAAAAAAGAAAAAAAAAAAAAAGGUAAAAAAACAUAAAAGAAAGAAAAAAUUAAAUUGUUCAAAACGAAAAAAUAUAGGGACUAAUUAUAUAAUUUAACCUAUAAUUUUUAUUUGAAAUGAUGAUUUAACAUGCCACAUCAACUUAUAUUACACCGCUAACGGCGAUUAACGGCUUAGUGAUUAAAAUGUUACAACACGUUAACGUAAUUGACUAAAACGUAAUAUUUCAAACUUAAAUGAAUAAAAUGUAACCCGAGAUGAACAAAAUGACUAUUUUGAUUUUAAUUUCUAUUUUGUUAUUUUUAUUAUAUAUAGACUUCUUUUUUUAUAUAUAAAAAAGGCUUUUAUUUAUUAUAUUUAAAAUCUGUUUCCCUUUUAUAAACAGGCCUUUUAAAAUUUGGAUAUUCAUACAUAACGCAAUCUUUCAUCCUUUUUACAUUUUAAAAUUUCCCAUAUAAUUUUACUUUAUAUAUAUAUAUAAAGCGGCUUUAAUUUAUUAAAUAUGUAGUUUCAAUGCCUGUAUGGCAAUCAACUUAUUGAUUAACCUUUUCAUUUUCAUUUCUUUUAUAUUUAACCUUUUGACUUAAUUAAAAAGAAUUCUAAAAACACUUUAAAAUUAAUAUUUGAAAUACUAGAUAUUAAAAAUGGUAAUAACUAAAGUAAGAAUUUUUAAAAUAAGAAUCAUGAGAACCAAACUGUUUUCAACCCUUAGAUCAAAAUGAAUAAAUCUAAGUAUUAGAUUUAAGAUUUAAUCAACCUUACUAAAAUAAAUACUACAACACCUACUCUUCUUCUUUUUUUCUCCAUGUAAUAUAAGUUUUAGAAAAAAAAAUAUUUUUAUAAUCUCUUACCUUCAGGUUUAAUUUUUAAUUUUGAACAAAAAAUAGAAGCAAAUUUACAACGGGAUAGAAAGUAAGAUAUUAGAGUUGUGACUCAAAUUCUUGUUAAAAUAAAAUACAAGUGUUAAGAUAGAGGUAUUCACGAGAGCAAAUGCCGCAGGCCAUCGUGGAUCCCCAAUAAGCAAGAUACUGGACUGGGGCCGGCCCCCACAGUAUGGUAUAGGCUGCACAAGAAUAAUCCGUUUAGAAGUUUACUUCAUUUGUUUGAUGUUGGUUUGAAUAAGGUGUUUCAACCUUAUUGCAUUACUUCUAUUAGAUUUAGAUUAGAAUAAGGUUUUCCAAACCUAUAAAUAGACGCGGUCUAUACUCAUUGUAAUUAUUUGAAUUCGACAUAGUGAAUUUUAUUCUUCUCUGCCUGUGGUUUUUUCCCAAAAUUUUUUUUACGUCAAAUUUGUGUUAUCUAUUUUUUUCUCCGUUUUCUUUUCUUUCUCCGUUUUCUUUUCAUUAUCGACAUUCUAUUUUUACAUUGAAAAAAAAAUGUAGAGAACUUCACUUUAGAUAUUUGGGUUUUCAUCAACCAAGAAAAAAAAUCUCAAAUAUCAAAUACCUAAAUUGCUUAAUCUUGAUAUUGCUUUCAAUCUCGUUGUAAAUUUGCUUCCAAUUUUUCCUUCAAAAAAAAAUCUAAAACUAAGAGAUUACCCAAUUUUUUUCAGCUUAAAACUUGUAUUACACAGUUAAAAGAAAAAAAAAAGAGAAGGAAAGAUUGAAUGUUGUGCUUUUUAUUCGGCUUAAUGAUAAAUUUUGCCACUAACAUUUGCAUGUUUUGUUAAAAUGACCCUAAUUGUAUUUUUGAGCUUUUUUUGGCCAUCAACCUUUAUUCUUUUUUUUUUCUUAAAUAAUUCACUUAUUCUAAUUUAUUCAAAUUUUCUUUUGUUUUCAAAAGGUUUCAAUCUUUCGUAGGUUUGUUUAUUGAGAAGUUUUUCUACUAAGUUAAUUUGUUUUAGAUAAUUACGUUUAUUUUCUUUAAAUUAAUAGUUAUUUUUUAAAUUUAUUGUAUUGUUUAUUUAUUCUAGUAUUUUCCACAUGUAAUUAUCUUAUUGGGUUAUCUAAGUAAUAAAUUAUAUCUCAUUAAAAAUAUUCCACAUACGAAAGUCUACAUCAUCCCUGUUAACUUUUUUAACGGUAUUUUCAUUAAAUUUGUUAGAAAAAGCGUAUUGAAAAAAAGAAUAAAGGUUAAUAGCAAAAAAAAAAAAAGAUUUAAAAAUAAAAUUAGGACCAUUUUGACCAAAUAUACAAACGUUAGUGACCAAACUUCUUUAUUUUAAUAAAGUAGAUUAAAUAUUAAAUCUAAAGCUUAAAAUUAUUUAUUUUGAUCUAAAGAUGCCACGAAUAUAUACACACUGAUAUUAUAACAUAAUUUUGGAAAACGCUUUUGCAUUUCAAAAUAAUAAAUAACAAAUCAAAUUAAAUAUUACAUAUUUUUAAAUAGAAUUUAAAAUAAAGUGAUAUUAAAUAAAAAAAAUUUGUAAAAAAAUUUAUGUCACAUUAAGAAUAUUUUUUUUAAAAUUAACUCUGUAAACAUAGUUUAUGUUAUUAAAAUAAAGCAAUUGCUAUUACGAAACCAAAAUUUUGUUGGUAAAAGUAUAUAGAUUAGCCCAUUCCUUAAAUUUUAUUUGUUAAAAGAUGAUGUGGAAUGUUAAUUUAAAUGGUUAAUUAUUAAUUUAACCCUUUAAAUUUAAUUAAAAUAUUAUUUUUAUUUUGUAAAAUUUUUUCUAAUAAUAAUUCUAUAAAAUUAAAAAAUAUUAAAAAUAAAAAUAAAUUAUUUAAAAUAUUAAAAAUUUAACAAAUUUAUCCCUCAAUGUUUACAAAACUAGUCAUUUUAGUUUUAAUUCUAAAAAAAAAAAAUCAAUAAAUUUAACCCUUAACAUCUUCAAAACCUAUAGAUUUAAACCUAAUUCCAAAAAUAUUUUAAAAAACAUGGUUUGUUUUUAAUAAUUCAGCUAAUCCUUUUGCACCACAAGUCCAAUAUAAAUAUAAUAUUUAAUAUUUAAAUAAUUUAGUUAUUAAAAAUUUAAUUAAAAUUUAAAAAGAAUUUUUAUAAACAUCUAUUUGCUCUUUUCUCCUUCCUAUCCUCAGAUCACUUUCAAAAUUUGUGUGAGAUUCCAUAAAUGACUGAAAGAUUAAAAUCCAAAAGAAAACAAUUUGUUGAACAAACAUCACUUAUAAAUCCGCCAUUAUCCCUAUUUCUUGAACAAAGUUAUCAGUGGCAAAAGGAUGACUAGAUUUUAAUAUAUUUUUUGCUCUUCUUUCUAUACAAACAACAGGGGAAGCCAAGGCAAGGAAGGUUAGCAAUUGCUCAAAAAUAAUUAUAAAUUUCUCCUAGCUAUCCCUUAUUCCCAUCUCCACCCUCAUUUUUCCUUCACCCGAAAAGCCUCCAUUGCUAUAGCUUUCCAACUUCAACCACGAAUCAUCUACCUUUGACCUUGCUCCCAUUGCCAUUCGGCUACCUCCCCAACCAACCACAAAUAGAACUAUAACCUCACAGAGGCCUCAACCAAACUCCGUUCACCAUCAUUCAAGCCUCUCGAUUAUCACCAUUACCAAACUCCCAUUAAAACCCUAUACUGUUAUUAUUAUUUUAGUUAUAGUUUAGGGAUCAAAUUAGUUCAACGUUAUAAAAUUUAAUUGAGGGGCUAAUUUGUACAUUUUAAAAUUUGUUAGGACUAAUUUAUUUAUUUUUUCAGUAGAAUGGUUGAAAUACAUUUUGUCCUUUGAUAUAAGGACUACCAUAAUAUUUUACUAAAUUUGGUUGCAUUUAUAAUUUAAAUUAACAUGUUUAUUACUUUAUUAUACAGUUUUGUCAUUUCAUUUGCAAGUAAGUUAUUGUUUCACGGGGCUAGAAUUUUAGUUUCGCAAUUCGUGCAGCCUUAAGCGAUCCUUUCGAUGUAAACACGCCUAAGUUAGUCUAACCACAAAAUAAUUGAGGAUUCACAAAGAAUUCUUCAAAGACACCAAUUUAUAUAGUAGGAGCAACUCUAGUUAAAAGAAGGUACAAAAGAACAGAAAAUAUGCAUGAGAAGUGUUUGAGUAAAUGCUCUCAAUUGUAUUACUUUAUCUAGAAGAAUACAAGAAACAAUAAAGAAUGAAAUGAUUUACAAGUGUGGAGGAGACUCUCUAUUUCUAGUUGAGCUCCCCCAAAAUCAACGGUCUAGAUCAAGUUAAAUUGACGGACGAGAUUAAGUCUAUCCCUAUAAUCAGGGGAUUUACAAUAUUUACAUAAUUAAAUUAAAUUUAAUAAGAUAUGAUUCCCUUCAAUCUUCUAAGAUUAGUUCUCUUAUUUAUGAAUGUAGUCCAUCUUUCCAUAUCUGCAUCAUUGGGCCACUUAGGCUUCAAAUAGAUAAGCUUCUUCAAUAGCUCUUUGAAUCAAGCCAACUCUCGUGGGUCAAAUGAUCUCCAUCUAGUCGAUAGACCUUCAUAGAAUGCAUUUGGUGCGAUGGUCACGGGCUUUAAUCUACACACAAUUGUACAUUGCUUAAAAAAAUUAUUAUUUAGUCAAAAAAUUAUAUUUUAUUUUAUUAAAAAUAGAAGUUUGAAAUGAUAAUAUUCCACCUUUGGCAUGAAUAUUUUUAGAUUUCAAAAACAUUUUUAUUUAUAAUUUCAGGAAUAAUUAUGUAAUAGCCCAAAUUUCAGCAAUGUCGAAAAUAGUGGUUUGAGACCACCAGAUCCAAAAAAUGAACUUGUAGAUUAUACUAUUUAAUAUUUAUGAGCGAAAUGUAGCUUUUAAAAGAUUUUUGAAAUAGUAAAUUGUGUUUUAUAAAGAUUUAUUUGGUCAAGAAAUUGAGAAAAAAAUAUCGAGAUCUCGGUGUUAUAAACCAAGCCAUAAAUAUUUGUAUAAAUAUUUACGGAGUGUCAAGGUAGUAUUAAAAUUUAGUUAGAAAAUUUUGACAUUUGGGCGAUUAAUUAAAUAAAAAGAACUAAAUUGAAAAAUGUAUAAAAGUUGUUAGAAUGAUUAAAUAGCUCAAUUGUCAAAUGAGGAAGGACCUAAAGUGAAAAUAAGCUCAAAGGAGAUAUUUUGGGCGACAAUAGCUGAGAAAAAUCAGGAAAUGGGUGAAAUAAGGGUAAAAUUGAAAAAUUGCCAAAAUUAACUAAAUAAAAAUGGGAUCAAAAUGGAAUAUCUAGAAUUCUUUUCAUUUUUCUUCAUAUUCAUCAGCUGAAAAAUAGCCAUGGAAGAGGGUUCAAGCUGGUUUUCAUACUCUAGCUUCAUGUAAGUUUAAUUCUUGCUUUCUCUUUGAAAUUUCUAAGCUUUUGGACUUUUACAAUUGAGUCCAACUUACUAUGUCAUUAGUUUUUGAUUUCAUGGCUAAUUUUUAAAGUUUAUAUGGAUGAAUGCUGGCAGCAUAUGUUGAAUAAAUAUAAAAUUGAAGCUUUAAUUUUGAUAUAUGAUGAUUUUAUCAAGUAAAAUUGAUGGAAAUUGAUUUCAGGACCUAAUUAUGAAAGAGUUUGGAAUUAAGGUCUAGUGCUAAAGUUCUAAUUUUCAAGGGUUAUGGAGUAGUUUAAAAUUAUAGACUAAAGUAUUAAUUGAGAAAAAUUAGCUCAAUUGAAUGGUUAAUUAAGCAAUGACUGAAUUGUAUGAAUUGUGAAAUUUAGGGUAAAAUGGAAAUCAACAUUUUGCAUUAAAACUGUUUUGGACAUCAACAGUAGUCUAAAUUUGAAAAAUCACCAAAAAUUGUAGAAAUCUAAUGAGAGGAUGAAUAAAAUAUGAAAUUAAAACUUAUUGAGUCUAGUUUCUUAUAGAGGAAAAGAUGUAAGCAAUGGAAUUGUAAAUCAUGAGAUAUAAUAAAUUUUGUGAAACAAGGUCAGAAUGAUUUUGGGUUCCCCUGUUCUGACUUCGGAAAAAAUCAAAAAUUGAAAAAAAAAUAAUAGGGGAUUAAAUUUAUAUUUUUAUAAUCUUGAAUGAGUCUAUUUUUAAAAGAAACAAACGGUAACUUUAUUUGAAUCUUGUACGAGGAGAUAAUUAAUUUUUAGUGAAGAAGGGUCGGAACUAUCAAAUAGCAGAAUAGGGGUGACUUUAAAGAAUAAACUGUACUUAUUGGCUAAACCAAAAUUUUUGAAAAUUUUAUGGUAAGAAGAUAUGUAAGUCUAGUUUCAAGGAAAAUUAGUGGAUCUUAAUUUGGAGCUCCAUAGCUCAAGUUAAAAAUAAUUUAGUAACUAUGACACGGAUGGACAACUUUGGAAUAUAAAUAUAAGUAAAUAGUGAAAUUAUAGAUAAUGUUACUUAUAAGCGUGUUAUAUACAUUAAGGAUGUGGAAUGGAGAGGAGGAGGAGGAAAAUAUAUAAGUGACUUAUGCAUAAAUUGAUCACAUACUCGAUUAUAUUUGGUAAAUGUUAAACUUUGUUAAAAUGAAAAUUGUUAUAAAUUCAUGUUUGAAUUAAAUGUUAUAUAUGUUAAAGAAUAAUUUGAAUAUUUGAUAUUGCCUAAUAAAUGAAUAUCCGAUAUUGCUUAGUAAAUGUCAAGUCAAAUAUAAAAAAAAAUGUUAUAAGUGGAAUAUGUUUGAAAGAAUGUGGUAAGUAUUUUCAUGGUUAUUAUUGAGCUCAUUCACAUGAAUAUCUGUCAUUUGAAUUGUGAUAGAUAGGAAGAAAUAAUGAACGGCAUGCUUAUGUAUGGUUAUAUGUAUUUAUCUGAAACACAAGAAAAGGAUGGUUAUAUAUUUGAUAUAUGGAGACAUGAGACUAUGAUAUAUGAACAUGGAAUAUAUUUUAUAAAUGUGUUCGUUCAUAAUUAUAGAAUUGUGCAACUCAAGUGUACUAUUUGUAUAAAGAUAGUAUUUUAAAUGAUUCGAUGAGUGUGAGAUAGUCUGAAAUCAAGACAAAUUGUUAUGAAAGCGUAUUUAAAAUACAUAGAUAUGAUUGUUAUAAGUUAUGUGAAUAAAUGAUGUGUAAAAGUAUAUACAUAUGAGAAAUUUAAUGAAAGUUGAGCCCAUACAUGUUUCUUGAUAUUUAUAUGAAUUAUAUGACUAACAAUGUGAUAAGAAUAGGUAUUAGGGCUCAUGAUCAAUUCGAAUAAUUAUAUUUUGCUAAUUAUGUUGAAUAUAGAGAAGCGGUAAGUUAAUUACCAUGUUAUACGAAUUUAUUAAAUAUUACAUGUUUACUUUGUUUUACUUUUUCUCCUAAUUAAUAAUGAUUCGAUAAGCUCCGGUAAUACCUUGUACCCUGUUCCGAUGACGGAUAGGGUAGGGGUGUUACAAAUUAUAAUUUUAAAGGUUCCUUAUUUGUUUACACAAUGAAACAGGUUAAUGAAUUUUAUAAGUUUUUAAUUAAUAAUAAAUAUAUUAUUUAAAAAUUUCAAUUUAUUAUAAUUAAAUUAACGUUUAAUUUAUAAUUUAAUAUAUCAUGUACGUUUUGGAUAUGAGUUCGUUACUUUUUGUUUUCUUAUAGUUGGGGUCAUUGAGCUUUAUCUAUUUAUUCACUCGAUCUAACUUUGAAUACAAAAAAUUUAAAAACAUUUUCUUAAAUUGAUUCGGAAAAAAAAUAUUUUUUGUAACAUUCCGAAAUAGGGCCUAAACGGAAUAGUGGUUACGAAACCACAAAUCCGAGGUAGAAAAAUUUAUUUUAUUAUUAUUUUGAGGUUCAUGAUAUGAUUGCAUGAUUGUGUGAAAAUUUCGUGAUGAAAUUCUAUACAUAAAGUGCUUAAGUUGAGAUUAGGGACUAAAUCGAAUAAUUUGCAAAACUUGCAUUCUAGAAGUUUUUAGUAUGAAAUUGCUUUGGAAUAUUAAUUAGGAGGGUUUAAAUAACAAUUUGACCAAAGUUCAUGGACAAAAUAGGAUAUGGAUGGAAUUUUUGAAAGUUUAAUAAGGAAGGGCAUUUUGGUCAUUUGGAUAUUAAAUGAAAUAAAAAGGGAAAAAUAACACAAAAUUCAUCAUCUUCUUCAUUAGCAAGAAAUUUCAAGGGUUCUCCAUAGCUAGGGUUUGUUUCAAGCUUUCAAGCUCCAUAGUAAGUGAUUCCAAGCCCCGUUUUUAAUGUUCUUUACGUUUUCGGAGUCCCGGUAGCUCGAUAAAGCUUAUGCUAGCAAUAAUUUAAGUUAGGGUUCAUAUUUGGAAAAAUACCCAUAGGUGAAAAGUGUUUAUUUUGAUGUUUUAUGAUAGAAUAUGAGGUCUUAGAUUAUGUUAGAAAACUUGUGCUACUCGGUUUUAGGUAAAAACGAGUAAAAGGGCUUAAUCGGUAAAAAUACCUAAUAGUCAUAAGUAUAUGUUAGAGUGAGAAUUUGAUUUUUCUAUAGAAGGGAAAAACGAUCAGUAUGUCAUAAAACAUAAGAAAAUAGGCUGAAGUUUAAUUUACGAGAUUUAGGGCAAAAGUGUAAAUAUGCAAAAGUUUAGGGGCAAAAAUGUAAUUUUUCCAAAUUUUGAGUAAAGGACUGUUUUGAUAAAUGUGAAUAUUAAAUAAGUUAAAUUUGCUAUUAUAGAUCAAGAAGAGCGAAAUUCGGGAGUAGAUCGGGGAAAAGAAAAAGUAAAGGACUAAAUUGUAAAGUUUAGUCACAUUUUGUAUCGAGGUAAGUUUACAAUAAAUAAAUGCAAUAUUCUUUUAUUUUACAUUAUUAUUGUCAAUUUUCAGCAUUUAUAUACUUAUUUUUUGAGAAUAUUUAAAGUCGAAUUAAAGGCGAAGUGACAGAGAAAAAGCAUUAAGAAGCCCCGUUUGAACCUUAGGAAUGUUAGGAUAUUGGGGUUGACAGGACAGGACAGGACAGAAAUGAGCCAUGUAAGUCCAUAUCAGAUAUAUGGCUUUGGAGACAGGAAUGAGCCAUGUAAGCCCAUAUUAGAUAUAUAUAUGGCAUUGGAGACAUGAAUAAUUCAUGUAAGUCCAUGUCAAAGACAUGGCAUUGGCAGGAUAUUGAUAGACAGGAACGACCCUAGUAUCCUUAGUAUUCCGAGUGGUUCAACGGGUCAUUGUACACAUUAAAUUACAGUGAAUUAUCAGCAAAAGGGAAGGUAGACUAUAUUUAUGAAUAGUGAAAGGUCAGGUAAGAAAGAAGGUAAGUGAGUAAAGAAGAAGGUAGAAAAUGAGAAGUAAAGAAAGUUUAUGAGGCUAGGUGACAUUAUGUAUAAUUAUUCAUUAUGUUGAAUGUUGUAAUUUAUUUACUUGUAAGCUUACUAAGCCUAGUGCUUACUCUCUUUAUUUUCUUUUUCUUAUAGUUUUUAUCAAGCCACUCAGGGAUCGAAGGAAACGUCGGAGACCCGAUCACACUAUCGAAGAAAUCACAUUGGUAUAGUUAGACGUUUCGUUUUGUUUAUGGCAUGUAUAGGAACUUGGUUCUUUUGAUAUGAUAUGAUCAAUGAAUGAUGUGUAAAUACUUGCUAGUGAUUAGCUAAUAGAGUGGCUAAUGAUAUACAUGUUUAAUAGUAUGUAUGAUUAAGUAGUAACUAUCACAUGAAAACUAAGAAAAAUGUGAAAGUAACUUAAAAAUAGAUUCAAGUAUCAGAAAUAAUGGGAUUUUGAAAAAUCACAAGAAAUUGUAGAGACAUGGGUUGAUGGUGAAUAGUAUAUGAAAUUAAAGCUCGUUGUGUUUAUUUUCAUAUGGAAUAAGCAAAACAGGUAAAGGUUUUGUAUUUUAUAGGGUAUCUGAGUUUUGGUGAAAUAGGGCCAGAGCGAUUUCUAGAUCCCCUGUUCCAACUUUAGAAAUUCACCAUAAAUUUUACAAAAAUAAUUAGGUGGUGUACUUUAUAUGGUUAGAAUCCUUAUUGAAUCUAGUUUUAAUAGAAAUAAACGAUAUAGUCAUAUGAUUUUUGUACAGAGAGAAAAGUGGUUCGUAGUAAGUAGAGGCCAGUGCAGUCGAAUUCUGAAACAGGGGUAACUUUAACUAAUAAACUGUACUAAUUGGCUAAGUAAAAAAUUCUAGAAAAAAAAUUAUUAGAUAGAUAUAUGAGUCUAGUUUUAGGAAAAAUUUACGGAUCUUAAUUUUGAGUUUUGAAACUCGAGAAAUGAAUUUUUAAGCAACCAUGACGCAGAAAAACAAUUUAUUUCGAAAAUUAAAAUAAGUGGUUUAGAGUUGUUUAAAAGGUAAGAUAAGUUUAGUAACACCUCAAGCUUGACUCCGGUGACGGUUUCGGGCAUGGGGGUGUUACAUUUUUAGAAUUAUUCAUUGAUACGACAUGCUCUUUUUCUCAUCCACUCCUUUUAAGAUCAAUCUUAAUCUUACAAACUCUAUCGACUGGUAUGCACGAAUCCUUUUCUUCAUACAAAUAUGUAAAAGAUAAUAUAAAUGUUGAAAAUAGCUACAUAAAUUUAUUAUUAUUUCAUUAAAACACACAAUCAACUUGUACAUCACACGAGUAAAACAAAACUAGUUAUAUCAAUAUAUAAUUUACCAAAUUAUUAUUGUAAUUGAAGGAUUAAUUCAACUAAUAUUAAUUAUUAAAAAAUCUAAAUAUAAUAAAAUUUAAAUUUAAAAUCUCAAAAAUUCAGUUCAUUUUAGGAAAAUAAACUUCAACUUCGUUUUAGGAAAAUAAAAAGUUCCCCAUAUUUAUUCAUUCUUUAUUUUAUUAUGGAAGAGUGUAGUGAUUUAAAUAAAAUAAAAAUUAAAGCAUUUUUGGGGUAAAUAUGGGCCAAGAUAUUUAGGCCCAAAUUUACAUGCAAGAAUGAAUGAGCCUUUCCCUUUUUUUUCUAAUAAUUAAAAAAAAAUGGGAGGAAAGGGUUUUGCAUUUGAAAAUUUGAAUCGCCAUCAAACUCAGUUCUGGAGCUUUACUCUCAUUUCACUGCUCAAAGUUUUCAAACAUGAAGCUCGUGAGGUAAUCAUCCUUCCUUGUUUUUCAUUCCUUUUUUGUUUAACAUUUUAUUUUAUUCUUUAAGUUUCAACUAAGAAGCAACAUUCAUUAAAAAAAUUGAUGUAAAUAAUUACUUUUUUUAAAAAAAAAAAGGUUUUUAAUGAAGUUAAAUAACGAGACUGUCUCCAUCGAGCUCAAGAACGGAACUGUUGUCCAUGGCACCAUCACAGGUUCGUAUCUCUCUUUAUUUAGUAUACAUUUUCAAUUCAAGCUUAUGGUUUUCAUUAUUCUCCUUUGGGCUUUUCAAUGAGCCCUAGGUUUUGAUUUUUAUACGUAAUGGUUUAAUGAGAAUCAAUCUAAUUUAUAUAUAGGCUCUUCUUGGUUGAUGCUCUUAUUUGUUUUGCCAUUUUUUUUUAAACUUUUUUUUCUUAUCCCUUUUUUGCAUUCUAUUCAUUUAUUUGCCGAAAGAGGCAAAAUAUUGCGUAUUUUGGUUAAGAGAAAUUUUCUCAUCCACAUUGUUAGUAGGAUUAGCAUGGUGACAUAAAUGACUUAAUCGUAUUAUUUAAAAUAAAUAAAUUUCAUGGUCUUUAAAUUCCGCUCGUGGAGUAGGAAAAUACCUUCACUACUAGUGUUUUAAGAAUGAACUAAUACGAACUUAUGGACCAUUAAUUGUGAUUGGCUCUUCAAAUUGUGAGGAAAAAGAACUGUGGGCUUUUCCCAUUUUAAAUUCAUCUCCACAUAAACUAAUUGUGUUACUUUGCACUCUGCUGUUCCUUUUUAUUGAAUAUAUGUUGUUGAUUGUCAAUUUUUAUAACUUUAUAUAAAUCGGCAUGAUUCUUUGUUCUAUUUUUUCUUUCUUUAUUGCGACUUCACUGGGCUUGUAGUUGGAAAACUAUAUGAAAAUACUAGCAUGCUGAACCUUCAUUUGCUUGAUUCGAUCUAAUAUUCAACAUCAAGGAUGAGCACAUUUUGAUAGUGGACUCAUAGAAUGUUAAAUAUGCCGAUUUUUUUUUCUCAGAAAAUUGUGUAACAGCUAACAAGUAACAUGUUUUGUGUUUCGAUUCUUCAUGUUAAAACAGUGGAAGCUUUAGCUGGGCGACUGAAAUUUUUAACCUGACCUAGAGAUAGUGUUCGGACUUUUGUUAUGUAGCUGUUUUAGUGUCCAUCCUCCAUUCUCUAAGAAUGUUUUCCAGCUAUUCUCUCUGUUAAAUGCACUGUGUGAAAAGUGGCUUUGCUGGAAUCUUGUAGGGGUUGAUGUUAGCAUGAAUACACAUUUGAAGACGGUGAAACUAACGCUCAAGGGAAAAAACCCCGUUACUCUUGACCAUCUGAGUGUCCGGGGUAACACCAUUCGUUAUUAUAUUCUCCCUGACAGCUUGAAUCUGGAAACUUUGCUUGUGGAGGAGACACCAAGAGUUAAGCCUAAGAAGCCAGCUGCAGGUAUUUAUACAUUUCACUCUUCUAUUAUUUUGAUCUCAAUACUCGUUACUUUUGUGUGCAUCAUUCACUCAUUUCUACUUAUUUUUCCCAUCAUCUAUUCAGGACGGCCUUUGGGACGUGGUUGGGGUAGGGGGCGUGGACGUGGUCGUGGCAGAGGUCACUAAUUGGCUCUCUGCAAUUUGCCUUCAUUGGGUACCUUACUAUUUUAGUGUGCUCGAGCAGAAUUUAAGGGAGCGAAGUUUGAAGUAUACAGUAAGAAUCUGUCUAUUUAUAUCUGCCCCUAGUUUCCUGCUCUAGUUUAAUUGUUAUAUAUAGUUGAACCUGAGAUUGUAUGCAAGUGAAUAAAAACGGCUGUCCUCUUUCUGUAUGGUCUAAAUUAGUAAGCAUUUGAUGGUGCAGUUAAAGGGAGGAUGAUGUGCAUAUGGGGAUGACUUGGACUAAUGGUUCAUCAAGCCAAGGCUAGCUAUGUUUUUGCAACAAACAAACCUCUCAAAUUUGAGUGAGUGUUUAUAUAUAUAGUGAUAUACUAGUAUUGUACAAAGCUGCAAAUUCUUUUCUUCUGUUUGGCUAAUGGAUCAGAUCUUUGUUAGGGGAUUUGCCCCGGGGUGGGGGGGUGUUUCCGUUAUGUUACAAAAAAAAAAAGAUGACUUCUUUUGUCUCAAAGAAAUGGUUUUUACAGUGAUAAACGUAUGUGAAGAAUGUAAAGUGUUAAAGAAAAUAGAAAGAAGAAAUUGACAUGGAUUAUGAUCUCUUCCCCCCAUUGUGUUCCAUCCCUCAAACACUGCAAAUGGUAUUUAAAAGAGAAAAAAAGAAAGUAAACAAGUUAGGGCUUUUAGCAAAAGGCUAUUCUCGGAUUAUAUUACCCUUGAAGAAUUAUAAUAGAAUCAAAUCAAAAUGAAAAUGGUUAAAGGCCCAAAAUAUAAGGUUUGGUAACAAUUUCGGCAUUUACAAUUUGGUUUCAAUAUUUCAUUCAUGUUGCAAGUUAGGUGUUUGGCUUUAGAGGUAAUUUUUAUUUUAAUUCUGUUUGAGAAAAUAAAAGCAUUAAGAUUGUUUAAUUGAGUCUUAGUUUGAUUGGCAUUAAAUAUUAUUUUUAGUGUAAGAAGAUGUGAGUUCGAUUGUGUUGAAGCGCAUUAUCUUAUUAUUUAAGGGUUAGAGAGGGGUUAUGGGUAGUUUUAAGCAUUGUAUCAAAAAUAGUAGAUAUGAUAAGAACCUACAAUGAGAUUAAUAUUAAAAAAAACAUUAAGGAUGUUUUAGACAUCACAAAUUAAUUAGAUUAGAUAAAAGUGUCAUUAUUAUCUUAGUAUUUUAAUUACAAAGAAUUCUAAUUUAUUACACUUGCUCGGUUGGCAUAGUGUAAUUAUAUAAUAAUUAUGAAUGUUUGAUAUAAUAAAUUGUAAUUACACAACAAUAUAAAUUAAAUUCUAAAAAAUAUUAAUUACUAUAAAAAAUUCUCAUUAAUACUUAAAAAAAACAAACUCUAGUAACAACACUUAAAAUCGAAUUGCAUAUGUAAUAAGUUGGCCCAAAAAUAUAUUCGAUAAAUGAAAUUACUAAUAAAAUUAACAAGACAAAUAAUCAUUCUAUACAAUUUUAUUUAAUUAUUCUAACAUUAAUAUUUGGUGAGCUCUAUCAUCUCUAACAUUAAACAUAUAGUCAUUGUCAUUCUUAGUCAUCUUUGAUUAAAUAAAGAAUCAAUAUUAAAUAAUAUGUAAUUUAGUUAAAUUAGUAUAAAUAAUAUAUAAUUUAAUUAAAUAUUUAGUAGGUCAAAAUAUAUGAUAAAUUAGUAAAAGUUUUAAACUAUUUUAAUGAGAUUAGUAAAAUAAUAUAUAAUUUCUUUUUUUAUAUAAUUCCUAAAGUGAUAGAUAUUAUGUGGUUAAGUGCGUUUGAAUCCAUGCUUACCAUAAUGUUGUAGCAACAACGAUGUCAAUAAGUAAUUAAUAAUAGAUAUUCUAAAAUUAAAAUAAUAUUAUUAUAGUAUAAAAAUCAUUCAUUUAACUUAUUUAACGUGUUUGUGUGUUUGGAAAGCCAUAGUGCAGUUAGAUUUGAUUCUCACUUUUCUCUAAGAAUUAAAAAGUGUAAUAUCAUAUGUUGGGGUGAGCAAAAUCCAAUUCGAUUCUAAAAACUCGAUAAAAAUUUUAAAUUUUGAAUUAAAUAGUUUGAUUUAUUUGAGUUAAUCAAGUUAUUUGGAUCGACUCGAAUAAAAAAUUAAGUUUUUCAGUUUAACUCGAAUAUGAAUUACACAAUUUGAGUUAUCCGAAAAUCUGAAUAAGAAAAGACAAAACUAUGUCGUUUGAUAAAUCUUUACUUUUUUAAAAGUUAAAAUUCAAAAUAAUUAAGUUAAAAGGCAAAACUACGUCGUUUUGAUAAAUGUUUACCCAUUAAGUUAAAAGCAAAAUCAUUAUAUUAUUCAUGUAGUUAAAUAAUCUUGUACUUCGUCUAUUAGUCAAACAAUUGGUCCAUCUAAACGCAACAUCAAAUAUAAAUAAUAGGAUUCGUUAACUCGACUCGAUUUGACUCAAAUGAUUCUAUGUGCCUAGAACUACCCAUAACAUCUUCUCACCAUUAAAUAGAACGAUAAAUGUGCUUUCGCGUGUUCGAACCUAUGACCUCCUACUCUGACAACAAUGUUAAUACCAUCCAAGCUAAGGCUUAGUCAACUUGGUUUCUUAUAUAUUAUUUUGCAAUUUUGAGUGUAUUAGGUUUUUAAAAGGUCAAAUUCUACUAUUAAAUCUUGUACUUUGCAUAAGUUGUGGAUUUAGUACUUGUACUUUGAUUUGAUCAUUUUCAGUCUUUGUACUUUUAGAGUUUUAAAAUUUUAGUCUUGAUGGAAUGGUAGCUAUUAAAUUCAUUAAGUUUUGUUAUUUUUAAAACUGACGUGUUAAGCAUAUUAUUACACGUAUAAUGCCAUGUCAGUUUAGUAUUUACAUAUAUUACUAAAAAAGACUAGUUAAUAGAUUUAUCAAUUGUUAUUUACAUUAAGAUUAAAAUUUAGAAAUUCAAAAAAUGUAGCAAUUAAGACGCAUAAUAGGACUGAUAACAAAAUUUAACCAAAAAAGUUUAAUUGCUAUCGUUUGGUUAAGACUAAAAUUUAAAAGUUUAAAAAAUACAAUCACUUAAAUUGACCGAUUCAAAAAGUACAAGAAUUAAAAUUAAUCAAAUUAAAGUAUAAGUAUUAAAUUCACCAAUUACGCGAGAUCUAAUGCUAAAAUUUCUUUAAAAAAUAAGUAUUAUUCUCUUUUUAUUCUUUUAAAAAUAAAAAAUCGAACAAAUAUAUUUGGUCGACAAAAGUAAAAUUGGUUUUCAAAUAACAAAAAGGAAAAUAUGUAAGAAUUGGAUAAAUAAUAACUUUAUAUAUGAAUUUUGUUUCAUUACAUACUCAAAUAUUGAUUUAGUGAACUUAAAUUGUGUUUCAUAUGUAUAAAUGAAAUUUUGAUUUUGAUUUAAUUAUAAAUAUUUAGAGAAAUAAAUAUAUUUAUUUUUAUAUUGGUUUAAUAUAAUAGUUCUUUAUGCAAUAUAUUAACGUAAAACGGUGUUAAUCUGAUAACGUUAUUAGUGAUUUUUAAAAAUUGAUCCUAAACAGAAUUUCACAUAUAAAAUCACAUAAAAUCAAAGUUGAUAUACAACAUACCAUAAUAUUUACUCCUUCAUUAAAUUUGUUUUAUAAAAUUUAAAAGUUAAAGCUUUGAUUAAAAAAUAAGGGGUUGGCUAAAAAAACACCCCCAACAUACUUAAUAAAUAAUACACCUUCACUAUAAUUAAUAAUUAGUUAUUUUAAUUAAUGUUCUUUUACUUUAUUGAUUGGUUAGUAAUUAACAUUUUUCUACCGUAAUAAUUAAGAAUUAAUUAUCACCUCUCCACUCACUUUUUUAUCUCAUUUAAUUGUUAAACAUAUUUUUAUUAAAUAUUAUAAGUAUUAUUAUUGUAUGAUUAUUAAUUAUUAUUAUUAUUAAAGAUAUCAGUAUUAUUAUUAAACAUAUUUUUAUUAUUAUAGGAUUAUUGUUAAACAUAUAUAUGAAUACAUAAAUAAAAAAAUAUGAGCAAAAUGCUAAAAUAUAAUAAAUUAAUAUUAUUUAACAAUAAUCCUCUAUAGUUAUAACAGGUGUUUUGAGAUUACAAGGUUUCAGUUGUCUAUAAAAUUCCAGACGUGACAUAUACAUGCUUUGCCAUCCAGCUGUAGACGGGGCUCUGUGGCAGAUCCAAUAAGCUAAAAUGGUAGGCAUUGGGUAAUCUCCUUCUAAUUGUACCAUCACAUUAUGAUUAUCAUAUACAUGUGCAAUUGUAAUAGCAUGAUGGUAUUGAAAAUGUUCCGGACCUCUCCAACGAGGAAAGAAAGUUAUGUCACAUCGCUUGGUUAAAUAAUUGAGGAUCACCCUGAACCUGUUGACAAUUAGGACACCUGUCAUAGGCAUAAUCAUCCAGUGUUCUGCUGGCACAGGCGAUUGUGAAAAACACAGUGAACUACGUAAUUCAUCGAUUCUAUCAGUGAAAACUCUAGCAUAGACAUCAUAUGAACUUAAUAACUCAUCUAGCAGUUGAUGUCGAACAUAGAGCCACUGAUCUUCGCCAUAACCAAGACAAACAGGUAUUGCUCGGAAUCCGUAAUUUCCAUCACCCUUGACAUCUUGUACAUGUGUGAUGUAAGGGAGGAACAUAUUUGGAAUUUCUUUCAUUAAUGGAUGAGUGUCACAUGAUUCAGGCAUCUGGUUUAAGUCUAUGAAGUCUAUGAAGUCUGGUUUAAGUCUGGAAUUUCGGUUACGUAUGAACUAUGUCUUGCAGGUUCUUUGUUCAACUCUACCAGAUCCGACCCAACAGAUUUUGACGUGGUUGAAUGGCUACGUCUUCUGGGAGCUUGACUUAUAGAAUUGACUCGUUUUUGUUGUUGUUUCUUCAAGGUUGGUCGUCCACGUGUAUUUUUUUGAAUGUAGGUUCUUUAAUGAGUGUUUUACUCGGCUGGAAUAUGUCUCUUAACUUUCUUAAUAGACUUUUUUCCCGGCUUUUGAUUGCUUAGUGAAGUUUUCUUUGAACAUUUCUAACUCACUGUCACAACAAAUAUCCUCAUUUUUCACAGAAGUUGACGGUGAUAAGUCAAGCUUCCUCCAGAAUAUAUCUAUUGAAUCCAACGGAAUACAUUCACCUGCAUUGAAAUGCCAUUAGUUUAUAAAAAUUCAAUAUAUAAAUAAAAUUUAGAAAAUAAUUGUUAAAUAUACCACCUGAAUUCAAGUAGACUGAUAGCAUGCAAACGCAUGGUAACCCACAACUAUGACGUAGUUUACAACCACAGUUUGAAGAGUCAAGUUGAUGUUUACUCGACCGCUGAAGUUCCCCUUCUAGGAUAUCUAGAGCUUCAAGUGCCACAAAACCCCGCAAUAAUCUGAAACACGGUAAGUUGUGUCUGUGUUUGAGGAUAAUUCUAUUAUUUUCAAAACUUUCAUAUAUCGAUGUAAGUUGAGACUUCACAAUCUAAUUGAUACAACCAGCAAAUUUAUCUAGAGAAGAAUUUUUUGCACAAAGGUAUUUCUUUAGCUUUGCAUGCUGGCUCUCAACUCUAUUCGUAGUUCGUUCUCCAAACUUGAGAUGCCGAUUAAUCCAGACCGACACAAACAAUUCCUUAUAUUUGCUUAAUCACACUUGAUUUAGAUAUUUUAAAACACCUGAAUUUAAAUAAAUGUUAGUUAUGUAUAAAAAGUCUUCUAAAACUAUAAACAAUUAUUUAUAAAAUAACGAGGCUUGUACCUGGAUAUUCGCUCAACAUUGAUUGGAGUUUUUUGUAGUUUUCAGUGUACAAUAUCCACGUUGGAGAUUCAACAAGUACAGUCCACAUAGCAUGAAAGGAGUCCCAUUCAUGUUGCGACUUGAUAGACUGCCUACAAUGCUUUUUAAUAUUUUCAGUAAUGUGCCAUCUGCAUAGUAAUCGAGUGGCAUCGAGGAAAACUUGUUGGCAUGCAUUCAUCAGAGCCAACUCUCUAUCCGUCACAAUAAUACGUGGGUACAUGUACUCCUCUAGUGUCACGGGGCUAGACCUUUCGUCUCGCAAUCCGUGCAGCCUUAGGCAAUUUACUCGUCCAAACUCGCCCAAGUCAACCUUUGUACCCAAAAAUGAGGAUUCCUUAAGAACUCCUCCAAGGCACCAAUUUGUAUAGCGAAAGCGAUUGUGCCAAAAUAAGCUACAAAUAAGCAAAAGAAAGCCAAAGAAAGAAUGCACAUAAGGUGUUUGAGUAGAUGCCCAAGAAUUCUAUUACUCUUAAGAAUUCAACAUACAAUGGAUGGUUUACAAAUGAGGGGGAGGCUCUCUAUUUAUAGUUGAGCUCCCCUAGAACCGACAAUCAAGAUACAUUUACAUCGACGGACAAGAUUAACGAUAUCCCAUGAAUUAAGGAAUUUACAAGAUAUGCAUUAUCAAAUCUAAUCUAAUCUAAUCUUUACAAGAUAUGAUUCUCUUUAUCUUUUAAGAUUAGUUGCCUAAAAUAGCCUAAGUUGCCAUAUCUCCGCUAUUAGGCCAUCCAGGCUUCAGGCUUCUCUAACAAUUCUUUGAAUCGGGCCAGUUCUUGUGGGUUGAAUGAUCCCCAUUUAAUUGAUCGACCUCCAUAGGUAGCAUCUUGUGCCUUGGUCACGGGCUUGGAACUUUGGCCCUUGACAUUCACCCCUACCCAUUCUCGCAACGCCCUCGUUGUGACUUCCGAAUGGCACUGACUUGAUUCACCUCGAAACUCUCUCGUUGCCUUGGCUUCUUCCCGGCUUGCCUUGCAAUUGGGUUGUCCCUUUCUUCGGAACAUUUGCCUCGAUUUUCGUCGCCUCUUAACUUGAACCGUUGUACUCGUUGGUACCUCUCGUUGGCAAGAAGUCUCCACUUUAACUUGCCCUAAUUCUGACUUGGUCCCAUUGGAAUCCCCUUGAUUCACACAUCUUGGCUUCGUUUCGCCCACAGUCCCUCAGCCUUCUUGCUUACGAACUUUGAAAGGGCCCCUACGAUCUUGCCAAGCCAACAAGUCAGUAAUCAAAACACUAUUAGUGUGUUUGUAAUGUACCUUACUCGUGGCAUUCACUCGUCUCGACUACUUUCGCAUGGCUUCUUUCUCCUUGAAGUCGGAUGCAAAAUCCACCUUUCCCAAAGGUGGCACUUCCACAGUCGACUCUACAGGUCUCAUAUCAGACUCACGCUCCACUAACUUUUCUGAAGAGGCUUUCGUAACAUUCUGUUCUGUCGAGUUAAUACUUCCCCCAUAUGAAACAUCUUCGACUAGUUGAAUUGACGACAAGACCUUGGUCCCAACCUUCAUAUCCCGAUGCACUGGUACAACAAUCUUUGAUGACGGAUCAGUGACAAUAUGGAUUUCAUCGGCCCAUGGAAACAGAACUGUCUAAAUCCUGUCAAAGAAGUUCAAACCAAGCACAUAAUCGUAAUCAUCUAAUUAGGUUACCUCAAAGUCUUCAUUGCCUUUCCAUUCGCUGAUUUGUAGCUCCACAUUACGAGCUACUCCAACAGUUGGGGCUUCCUCAGAAUUUACUGUCUUGAUCUUUUUAUUUGAUUUCCUAAUCGAUAGACCAAGCUUCUUGGCAGCCUUUUCUGAUAUGAACAAAUCUGACGCUCCCGUAUCAAUAAGAGCACUCCGCUUCUGAUUCGCAAUGUUGAUGUCCACAAACAUCAACCCCUCUCUACUAUUCCUUUUGUUAGGAAUAAGAACCAUCGAACCGACCCUCGAUGUUCUUCCCUCUACAGGCUUCGGCUAUUCUUUUGGCUCAUCUUUCGUUUGGAUAGCCGACAUCAUCAUCUCUUCAGACAUUUUCGCAACAUGUGUGGUCCUUGACAAAGGAAACAUUUUAUUCUCUUCCCUUUGUCCCUUGGGUUGUUGGAUCCCCGCUUUGCAUCUCGUGGUCUCUCAUUACCACUUGGGCUAUCAAUGCUGUGGCCAUCGUCGCUAUGUCCCUCUUCAUCUUUCCCAUGGUUUCUCUCACCAUUGCCCUUCCCAAUGGGCUGAAACAAUUCAAACUUGUCUUUUGUUAGACCAAGUUCAACAAAGGACUCUACUUCAGCCAUGGCUACAGUAAGUUCGGUGAUCCCUUGCCUACGCAACUCUUGCUUUGCCCACGGUUUUAACCCAUCAUCGAACCAAUAGAACGCUUCUUUCUCGCUCAAGUCAGAGAUUUGAAGCAUCAACUCACUAAAUGCCCGAACAUACUUCCGAACAGUGCCUUGUUGUGUGAGACGGCGCAACCUAGCCCGAGCCUCCUUCUCGGUAUACUGUGGGUAAAACUGCUUCUUCAACUCUCUUUAAAACUCCUCCCAAGUCCUAAUUGCGUUCCCUCUACGUUUCUCAUCCGUAGACCUACGACGCUACCACAAGAGAGCCAUAUCAGUAAAAUAGAUUGAGGCAGUGUUUACCUUAAUUGCAUCAUCCUCGAUGCCCAUCGCUCAGAAGUAUUGCUUCAUUUUCCACAAGAAGUUGUCCACGUCUCUUGCGGACCUUGCACCUUUGAACUUCUCUGGUUUGGGAACAUCUAUUGCUUGUUGCUUCGGCUUUGAAGACAACAUCCCAUUACUCAAAGCAGCUUUGUAAAUCGUGAGCUCCCCUUUAAGCUCUUCGAUCUCUUUCUUCAUGGCUAACAUCAUAUCCUCGAGAUUCUCAUCCCUCUCUGCCAGCUUUUUCGUAGUGGAGUUCACUAACUCAUUUAGCUUUUCUGCAUUGGCACCGAGAGAAUCCAACACAAAAUCUCUAAGUUGCUCCUCCAUUGAGUCAAACCCAUCUGUGCGUCCCUCGACCAACUCAAGCGUCUCCUUCAUGUUCCCUACGGACUCCUCGAGAUUACCAACUUGAUCUUCCAAUGCUGACAGCAUGUGCCUCGAGCGACUUGCUUUUCUACCCCUCCUACGGGUCUGCAUUGGCUCAUUCUGAUCAAUAACUUCUUUUGACAUCCCAACAGUGCCUUCGAACCAAUAGCUCAGAUACCAUUUGUCACGGGGCUAGACCUUUCGUAUCGCAAUCCGUGCGGCCUUAAGCAAUUUGCUCAUCCAAACUUGCCCAAGUCAGCCUUUGGACCCAAAAAUGAGGAUUCCUUAAGAACUCCUUCAAGGCACCAAUUUGUAUAGCAGAAGCGAUUGUGCCAAAAGAAGCUACAAAUAAACAAAAGAAAGCCAAAGAAAGAAUGCACACAAGGUGUUUGAGUAAAUGCCCAAGAAUUCUAUUACUCUUAAGAAUUCAGCAUACAAUGGAUGGUUUACAAAUAAGGGGGAGGCUCUCUAUUUAUAGUUGAGCUCCCCUAGAACUGACGGUCAAGAUACAUUUACAUUGAUGGACGAGAUUAACGAUAUCCCAUGAAUUAAGGGAUUUACAAGAUAUGCAUUAUCAAAUCUAAUCUAAUCUAAUCUUUACAAGAUAUGAUUCUCUUUAUCUUUUAAGAUUAGUUGCCUAAAAUAGCCUAAGUUUCCAUAUCUCCGCUAUUGGGCCAUCCAGGCUUCAGGCUUCUCCAACAAUUCUUUGAAUCAGGUCAGUUCUUGUGGGCCGAAUGAUCCCCAUCUAAUUGAUCGACCUCCAUGGGUCGCAUCUUGUGCCAUGUUCACGGGCUUGGAUCUUUGGCCCGUGACACUAGUGUCAACUUUAGACAUGUUAAUGCCCAAUUAUAGUUCUCCUCCUUUCCGUUAAUGAUAAAGGCAAAAGCUAUACUAAAUGUCUUGUUGGUUGAAGUCACGCCAAUAAUCUGAACAAAAGGCAGAUCAUAUUUGUUCGUUUUGUAAGUUGCGUCUACAAUCAAAACGUGCGGAAAUGCAUGCCAUAUAUCCAAUGAUCGUGGAUGAAUGAAGAAUAGAUUUUCCAAUUUAUUUGAAAUAUUAUUUAUUGAAAACUUAAUAAAAAAUUGUUUAUCAUUCAAAAGCAACAUAAGAACCUGUAUCGGAGUUUUACCGACAUUCUGGGACGAGCGAAGCUUUUGCCGUGCAUUGUAUAUGGUUUUUAGUGUAGAAACGUUAUUCUCGUCUUGCUCCUUCAGUGUCGAUAAUAUGUCACGUGGUGUAACAUUCUUACUUGUCAAAUCAACCAACAAUUUUUUUUCAUUUUCUUUUAAUCGCCUUGCAUAAGCAUGUCCCUCCAUAUGUUGUGCAGGUGGAUAGUUAUGUUGAUCACAUAUCACCUUCAACGUCCACCCAUCAUAUUGUUUUAAAUACGAACCUACCAAUCAGAGUUGGUCUUUUUGGUGCCAAACAUUUUACUUGAUUCUUUAAAUUUGUAUUCACCACUACGGUCACAAAUAAGUGUGACGAUGAUAUAAGUAAGACACCACACCAUUUUCCUUUGCUUUUGAUCUUCUCGUGACGAUGAUAUAACCAAGAGAGAAUGGCGUGUUUUCCACCCAUUGCAUCAGCUCUUCAUGAGACUCGAACACCUAAAAUUUAAAUAAUUUUGUUAAAAUAUUAAAUGCUAUGAAGAUAAAAAAAAUAUUAACAUCAUGAUAAAUAUUAUACCCGAUCGGUAAAAAAUGGUGAUGUCACCAUAGAGAUCUCAUUGCCUUCAUUUAAUUUACUUCUGUUAAAAUUCGACAUCUUUUGUUGAACACUACAAAUUAUGAUGAAAAAAUCAGUAGUUAUAAAAAUUUAAAACAUAUUUUAAUUUAUACAAGAAUUAAUAAAUAAAAAAUAAAAAAAUUAGAAAAACAGAUUUUUAUAAAAAAUAGUUUAGAACAAAUUUAUAAAAAAUUAAAUUACAAUUAAUAGAGUGUAGUGGGAAGGACUUACUUAAUUUCGUUAAUAAUAAUACGAGUUUACGUUAGAGUGUUGUUAAUGUUCAUCAAAAGAAACAUAUAUAUAUAUAUAUAUAUAUAUAUAACUAUGCCUAUUUAUUGUAUUAAUUAUAACAAAAUUAAUUUUUCUCAUUUUUUAAGAUAUUGACUCUAAUUGUUUUGACUAAAUUGAUUACACUAAUUAAUUUAAAAUGUUGAAAAUGAAGAUAUUUGGAAAAUGUACUAAUUACAACAAAAUUAAAAUUUCCCCUUUUUAAAGAUGUUGACUCUAAUUUUUUGAACUAAAUUGAUUACACUAAUUAAUUUAAGAUGUUAAAAAUAAAAAUAUCUAGAAAAUGUAUUAAUUAAUUUUUUGGACUCUUAAAUCUAACUAUUGUAUUAAUAAAAAGACUCAUUGGGAAAGACACUCAUCUAAUAAAAUGAGAAGUGCUGUAAUCAAUUACACGAAAAAAGAAGAUUAAGGUGUUUUUUUAAUAUGGUAGGGGUGUUUUUUUAGCCAACCCAAAAAAUAAUGCUAAAAAUAGGAUUUAAAUUGAUGAAUUAACUUUGAUUAAAAUUCAUGUAAAUGUAUUUUUAAUAAAUUUUAAAUAUAAAAUUUGAGUAUGAUUUCCUAUUUUUCUUUUCAUGUAUCCGAAGUGGCUUGGGGACCAAAAGCACAAUUCUUCUUGGGUUCUUCAAAAGUAUAAUUUCCUAGGGACCACUUUCUUCUUUCUUUGAAAUAUAUUAUAUGUUUAUUUAAAUCAUUUCACUCGUGCGGUGCCAAAAGUAAAAAGAAAAUACAACCCAAAGAUAUUAAAGUUUUCCUGGCUGCAAUGACAUGGGAUGAAGUCACCAUCAUAGAUAAUAUUACGAUAAUAAUUACUACAAAUAAAUGGUCACCUUUGCCUUUGACCCCCCAAACGAAAGGCAAAAUAGAUAGAUGAAGCAUCACUUUCACAUAUAAUUAGACAACAUGCACUUGCAGUGUUCAACAGUAUUCCCAUGGUUUUCCUUUUCUCUUUAUAAUUAUGGUUAGGGAUAAUUGUUUGAAGCGUGCAUGGACGCCAAAACACGACACACUGAUUAACACAUGACGUAAUAUAAGUAAAUUAAUUAAAUUUUGAUCAUCUGAAUUCAUAGUUUGGUAUUUUCAUCUUAAGCACUCUUCAUAGAUACAACUAUUUAUUAAAAAUUUUCAUUUUAAAUUUAGUUACAUUAGAUUUGACGUAUCAUUUUAUAAUAAACGAAUAAUGUUGGUACAAUUAACUCUUUGGAUUAAUUGAGAAGAAAUUGAUAAUUAAAGUACCGAAUUUGACUAAAACAUUUAAGUACCUAAAUGGGAAAAGCAAUAUAAUUUAAGGGUUAAUUUUAUAGUUAAGCCUAGGUGUAAUUACUCUUUUAACUAGCAAAUAUGAUAAAAUUUAAGCUUUAUGACAAGUUUUCUUUUUCAAUACAACUAUGAUUUAAACUUUGACUAUUCUUGCAAAAACUGAAUACUUAAUCAAUAGAUCAAAAUUAUAUGUAUAUGUGGAGAAUGCAUCGCAUUUCAGUCAAAUUUAGUCACAAACAAAGAGCGACGUUGCAGUGAUGCAAUGGCGAAAACAAGUGAGAAGUAGAAACAACGUGGCGACGACAUGACAAGGGAUGUCGCGAUGUGGCAACGUGUCAUGCAAUUUUCUUGGUUUUCUUCUCCUAGUUAAACUCUAAGUAUUUGUUUCAACUGAACUCUGAUUAGUGUAGAUUAUUUUAAUAUUGUUUGACCUACGAAUUUAGCCUAUAAAUAGACACUUUUCUACCCUAGAAAGAUUUAACCCAUUAUACAUUUAGGUAUUAGCUUUUGCAAGCUUUCAGAGAAUUUUGUAUUUAAUUUUGAGAGUUCUUAUUUUCAGUUUCGGGAUUUAGUUUUAUCUCCAUCUUUCUACAUUUUUUUUUGCUGUUAUAGUGAAAUUAUCUUUACCCGUGGCUUUUUAUCCUCUUUGGAGGAGUUGUUCCACUUAAAAUUUGUGUUUGAUCUCUUCAAUUAGUUUGUUAUUUUACUUAUUUGUUGCUUAAUUGGGUUUAUCGCCUACAAACUGUUAUAAGAGCUAGUUUAAUUUUUGCAUACAACCUAUUCAGAGAUGACGACAACCAGGUUCAACAUUGAAAAGUUUGAUGGCAUCACAAAUUUCAAUUUGUAACAAGUUCGGAUGACGACAAUACUGGUUUAGAACGUUCUAAAAAGGUUGUUACAUGAAAAAAGCCUGCAGAUAUGAAAUAGUUAGAAUGGGAAGAGCUUGAUGAGAAGGCCCUGUUUGCAAUUCAGUUGUGUCUUACAAAUAAUGUAUUGCAGAAUGUGUUGAUGGAGAAAACAUCAUACACCUUGUGGAAAAUGUUAGAAACCUUUUACGUGACAAGGACUCUAGCUAAUUAAUUGGUGUUGAAACAACAGUUGCACACGUUCCGCAUGAACGAAUAUGAAUACCUUAAAGGUCACAUCGGUCAAUUUAUUACUCUUUUGAAUGAUUUAAAGAAUUUUGAGGUUUAUAUUGACGAUGAAGAUCAUACUAUGCUAUUAUUGUGCUAUUUACCCCCUUCAUACAAGUCUUUCAGGGAGGCCCUGAUUUAUGACAAAUAUAAUCUCUCGUUCGAAGAUACGAAGGGUCAUUUCUUGAGCAAAGAUAAACUUGACAAUGAGUUUGGUUCUGAUAGCAAGUCGGAUAAGUAAGCCUUAAUUUUGGUAGCAUUAAGGAAGCGAGACAAGAGAUGUUGCUAUUGUAAAAAGUUAGGUCAUGUCAAGGCAGAUUGUUACAAGCUGCGAAAUAAAAGGGCUGUUGAGAGUAAUGAGGAAGAUUUAGCUUGUGCUAAUUUGGCCAAUGACAAGGGUGAUGAUUUCUUGUUGGUGCCAACAAGCGAAAGCUCCAAGUUUAUAUCCGAGAGGAUCUUAGAUUCACGGUGUUCUUUCCACAUGUGCCCCAACAGGGAUUGGUUCUCCACAUACAGUUCAGUUGAAGGUGGAGUUGUGCGUAUAGGGAAUGAUUCACCUAGUAAGGUAACCGGCAUUGGUACUGUUUUGUAACACCCUUCGCCCAUAUCCCUCAUCGGAACAGGGUUCGAGGUACUACCAAAUUUAAACUCAUCCAUUUAUAUAAAACCAGACCGUAAAAAUUUUUGAUCAAUUUUAAACUUUUCAUACACACGUAUAUUAUCCUUUAAUCGGGCUUAAAAGGCCCAAAAUAUUCAUGAGGCAUUAUUAUAUAUUUACCAAUAUCUUAGUCUUGUAUCAUUUACUUACUCAACUUUACAACCCUAUACAUGCCAUAGACUCGAAACACUAAGAUUUACUUACGCCGAUAGCGUAGACUUGACAAUGUGAUAAUAUCUCUGACGGCAUCCAACCCGAGCUAACCUGGCAACCCUAGGGAAUAUGGGAAAGAAAAGGGGAGUAAGCUUUACGCUUAGUAAGUUCAUAAGAAAACAAUAAGCAACUCAUUAACAAGUUUUAUCAAUGUUUAGAACAUAAUCACAAAUUCACUACAAGUUGUCUUCCUGAGCAAUAGUCACUAAAUUAUUUAUAACUGGAGCUAAAAAACUCCAAAUCAAUUGCCGUUAAUUUUCCCUGAAAAUAGACUCAUAUAUCUUCCAUCCAUAAAAUUUUCAGAAUUUUAGGUUUGGCCAAUCAAUACCAGUUCUUAAAGUUUCCCCUAUUUUACUGUUUGACUAAUCUGACCACUCUCCACUACGAAUCAAAUUCCUCAUUGUACAGAAUUCAAAAUAUGUUCUAUUUGAUUCCAUUUGAAACUAGACUCAUUAAGGAGUCUAAGCAUAUAAAUUUUAUCUUAUAACCAUUUUUAUACAAAUUAUAAUGAUUUUCUAAAAACAGAAUAGGGGUCCCCGAAGUCAUUUGACUCUAUCCCACGCCACUUCAAAUAUCUCAUUAUCAGCAAUUCUUUUGCUUACACGGUUUCUUUUAUAAGAAACUAGACUCAUUAAGCUUUAAUUACAUAAUUUAUUCAGCUUCUAACUCAACUCCAACAAUUUAUGGUGAUUUUCCAAAAUCACGUUACUGCUGCUGUCCUAAGCAAAUUUAUUACAAAUUUACUCUUUCACACAUUCUUUGCAUUCACAUUAUUUAAACAUGUAUAUCACCAAUAAAUUUCAUCACAUAUCUAUAAUUUCACUCAAGCAUAAUCUCAAUACAAUACAUCAUGCUCAAUGAUUCGCACACAACCGUUCAAAUUAGCAAUUAUAAGAUGAUUCCGCACAUAGUCCACCCUUAUCGAUAAUUUACGAUGGUUUUGCCCUUACUCACAUAUAUGACAUAGGCAUUUUCACCUAUGCUUCUCAUUUCACACUCAUGAUUCAAUUCCAAUCGAUCUAACAUGUAUAAGAAUAUACCACAUACCUGGCCAACUUAAUGCAUUGAACAAAUUCAAUCGCCGAUUUAACACAAGGUCUCAUAGUCUUAGACUUUUAUCAAAUCACCGGCAUUUAGCCUGCUAGGUUUUAAACCCGAUAAUAUUAUUCACCAGCUUAAAGCUUGCUAGGCUCAAAGCCCAAAUAUCACCAUUAUAAAGUCGUCUCAUAAACAAUUCAUAUAAUAUAGCAUGUAUACUUGUUCACUUUGCUCUAUUUAAUCAUUCAAUCACAAUUUAUAAAUUCCCUUUGAAUCAUUCGAUAUUUUGCACACUAAGUGUCAUUCUCAAUAUCUCGCACACUAAGUGCCAUUCUCAAUAUUUCGUACACUGAGUACCAUAUUUGAUUGCCCCGCACACUAAGUGCCACAUUUUGUCGAUAUGUCGUCAGACAUUAAAAUAUUCACGUAUAUACAAUUUAUACAAUAUUAAAGCAUUAGAAACAUCAAUUUAACAAUGCUUAUUGCAUACAAACUUACCUGGCUAAAUUGUAGAGAUACCAAAGUUCAGGGGCAUUUUGGUAAUUUUCUCAUUUUUCUCGAUUUUCCACCCGAUCUUGAUCUAAAUUAAUAAUUUCAUUCAGUAUACUAAUUUAGACAUUAAAACACCUCAUUUCAUACAAUUUGGUCAUUUUUGUCAUUUUUACAAAAUUACCCCUAAAGUUUUACUUUUAUUCAUUUUAGUCCCUGAGCUCAAAACAUGCAAAUUAACCAUUUUUAACCAUAAUUAAGCUUAGCCAAAUGUUCAUGGUAUCAAAACAAUCCAUAAUUCACUUUAUGGAAAAAUUAUAGUUUUGCUCCUAAUAUUUCAACUUCUUUACAAUUUAGUCUCUAUAUCAUAAAAAUGCAAAUUCAUGAAAUUGAGUAAAAUUCUACUAUAGACGAAUAUCACUAGUGUCUCUAGAAGCCCACACAUUUCAUUUAUUUGACAUUUUAACCACAAAGUUUUCACAUUUAUCAAUUUAGCCCUUAAUUGUCAAUUUCACAAAAAUUCACUUAACAAAAAGUGUUUAACUAUCAACAAGGACUCAUAUUCUUCCAUUAAACUUCAAAGCCCUAUUAUACUCAUCAAUGGAAAAUAUCAAACUAUUCAAUGGUUUUGCAAAAUAGUCCCCUCAUUAGAUAGAUUAAGCAACAACGAUCCCGAAAGUAUAAAAAUAAUUAAAAACGGGACUAGAAAUGCCUACCAUGCAUUAGCUGAAAGUUGGAAGCUUCUUCCAUGGCUUCUCAAGCCUUCAUAUUCGGCUGGUAAAAAGAGAAUGAAAAAGAUGACACCUUGAUUCUUUUAUUAUAUUCAUUUUAUUAUUAUUUUUAACCAAUUUACAAUAUUAACCUUUAUACACUUUAUUUAUUACACCAAAUGCCAAGCCAUCAUAUCCCACUAUCUCUUUAAUGGGAUAAUUACCAAAUAAGGACUUCUAAUUUUAAGUUCUAUAUCUAUUUAAUACAUUUAGGUUAUAGAACACAACUUUUGCACUUUACACAAUUUAGUCCUUUUUGUUUAAUUGACUAUCGAAACGAUAAAAUUUUUCAACGAAACUUUAAUACCAUCUUAUUGCCACAACGUAAAUAUUUAUAAAAAUAUUUAAGACUCGGUUUAUAGAAACAAGGUCCCGAUACCUCAUUUUCUAAACCCACUUGACCUUAGGGUCAUACCACUUGAACUUAAUAAAUCGCUUAUAAAACAAAAAUCACAAUAUCAAAAACAUUUUUAAAAUCACAAUUAACUCGUAAAUAUUAAAUAUAAUAUUUACCAACCUACUCGUUCAGAUUUGGUGGCCCCGAAACCACUGUUCCGAUCAACCCUAAAAAAACGGGCUGUUACAUGUUUAGUUUAGGAUGCACGAUAAGACAAUCAAGACACUGUCAGACGUCAGAUAUGUACCUGAUUUAAAGAAAAAUAUCAUCUCAUUGGGAAAUUUAGACUCGAAGGGUUGUAAAAUUAACAUUGAGUCAAGCAACAUUAAAGUAUCUUGUGGGGCACUCGUUUUGAUGAAAGGUAAAAGGAUUGUCAUUCUUUAUGUGUUGGAAGGAUCAACAGUGACCGGUGUAACAGGAUGUCCUUUGUCUAUUAAGGAGUCGAAUUCGACUCAUUUGAAGCAAAUGUAAUUUGGUCAUAGGAGAGAAAAAUGUAUGAUCAUUUUGUAUAAGAGAGGUUCUCUUUUGGAUGCAAGUUUUGAAAAAAUAGGGCAUUGUGUUCGUGAAAAUCAGACUUGGUUCAAUUUUGAUUUGGCAGUGCACAAGUCGAAGACUAAAAGUCUUCCAGCUUCAAAGUUCAAACACAACUUCGACUUAAUUAAUAUCUUGCAUAGUUUGAGAUAGGCCUGUGGUGGGCUUUAGAAAAGAAGGCAUUAUGGAAAUAUGAGUUAUGGUAGAGAUUUGUAGAGUAUGCCUCGCAUUUCAAUCAAAUUUAGACACAAACAGAAAGCGAUGACGAAUGUCGAAACCAUCUUUUUGAAAUUUAAAAAUCAGUGGGGAUCGACUUUAAAAUGAAUUGUGGAGUCGCCACCAAUCCUUUUUUGAUGAGGUGUGAUUGGAUCACCAAGAAAUUUGGUCAUUUUAAUAAAAUAUUUUGGCUUACUAAAACAACGAUUUUGGUCUACGAAAUUUGAAAAAAUAGGUUCGGGAUUCGGUUACGUAUGAGGAAGGAUUAGCACCCUCAUUACGCCUAAAAUUGGUACCAAAUUGAUUAGAUACUGUCCUUAUGUCUAAGAUUAAAUUUUUUUUUGAAAUGUGGUUCCUUUUAAUAACAUUUGAAUAACCCGAGCUGGUCAUCAAGAUUCUCUUGCUUAAGAGGAAUAGAGCAUCACAUCCAGCACGAUAGGACAUGAGCCUUUAUGCCCUCGAAAACAUGAUAAAUUUCGACUUCCAAAAGUUUGUAUGUUGAAAACCACAAAAGGAUGUCCAAUUAUUUAGUCCAAAGAGAAAAUCGAAACCCAGUACUGUAGGGCACGACUCCUAGAAUUCCUAGACAUCGGACAUUGCCUUAUUUUAGAAUUUGGAGAACAUGAAUGAAAUUCUAAAGGAAUACUCGAUUAUUUGAAACAAACAGGAGAUCGCAACCCAGCACGAUAGAGCACGAUUCCCCGAAUUGCCAAACAUCGAACAUUACCUUCGUUUUGAAGAAUUUUUAAAGACAUGAAUGAAAUUCCAAAGGAAUGUUUGAUUAUUUUGAAUAAAUAGGAAAUCGCAACCCAGCACGAUAGGGCACGAUUCCCCGAAUUACCAAACAUCGAACAUUACCUUCAUUUUGAAGAAUUUUUAAAAGCAUGAGUGAAAUUCUAAGGGAAUAUUCGAUUGUUUUGAACAAAUGAGAAAUCGCAACCCAGCACGAUAGGACACGAUUCCCGAAUUGCCAAACACCGAGUAUUGCUUUCGUUUUAAAGAAUUCUUAAAUGAAUAAUCAUAGAAAUAGCUUAAAACGCGUUAAUGAGAUUUGUAAUGAAACAAGAUCAAUCUUAAAAAUUUAGACCUUACAAAACCAAAUUUCAUAAGCCAAGUGGAAAACAAUGAUAUGGGAUAAUAGACACAUAUGAGAUACAGUCAAUUAACAAACUAAUAAUUAAGUAUAACUAACCUAAAAAAUGUAACCCGAUUACAAUCAUGCAUGGGAAAUAAUUGAUAUAAUAAUACAAUGAUGAAAAUAACAAUAUAACAAUUCAAUACAACCAAAACAAUAUACACAAUAAUAUGCCACAAUAAUAUACAUAGCAUGAUAUAAAAUAAUCAAUGCAAGAUGUAAAAAAAAAAACAACAACAUAGCAAUUAGAAGCCAUUGUGCUAUAACGAUUUUAAAAUAAUAACGGAUAAAUGGACACAUAAUAUAUAGGUUGACAAAUUUGUAUAAGAACCAGGGAUCUAUAAUUUUUGAAAUAGAUAUUAUAGAAUAAAAGUUUGAAUCAAAUUGCAUGUAAAAUAUUUUAAACACAAAUUCAUUUAAAAAUUGACAAUGUACAUGAUAAUUUAAAUAAUGUAUAUAAUAUGAAAGAAUAAUAAAGAUAAAUGACAAGAUAUAAUACACAAAAUAGAUUUACAAAACAUAUAUACAUAAAUAACUUUUAAAAAUAAUUAUUUGUAAAAACAUAGAAAUACAUACAAGCUUAAAUUAAUUUUAUAAUAAAUUAUAUAAUAGAUUUAAGAACAUGCUUAUAUAUAUAUAUAAAGAAGACUAUAUGUAUAAAAUACAUGGAUUUAAUAAUAUAUAUAGAUCAAAUAUAGGUAUCAAUAAAUAUACAUACAUAUAUAAUGAUUGCUUAGAAGAUAUAUUACGUAGGACUAUAUAAUGAAAUACAAGAAUAAAUUUAAGAAAUCAUAUGUAUAAAAUAAUAUAAGGUUAAUAAUAUAUAUAUGAAAUAAAAUUAACUUUAAUACAACGUGUAUAUAUAUAUAUAAUAGACUAAAAAAACAUACUUAUAUGUACAAAGUAUUUUUUUAAUGAAAUAUUUAUUUAAAAAAAAUGACCAUAUACAUAUAAAAAGGAAAAUACUUUCAAUAACAUAUACGUCAUGAAGUUUUUAUUUUUUUUUAAAUGACAACAAUGUAUAAUAAAACAUGCUAUAUAUAUGGUUUAAGAAUAUGUACAAGUAGAUUCAAAAGAGAAUAUGUGUAUUAAGUAACAUGGAAUUAAUAAUAUAUUUAGAAUAAGAAAACUAAAUUAAUCAUGAAUUCCAUAGGUAUAAUAGUAUAUAGGAAUAUUCAAAUGGAGUAUUUAUACAAAAAUAUUUUAAAAUAAUACGAUAAAAAAAAUUUAAAAUAAAGAUUUUAUGUAAAAGAAGGUGAAAUCAUCAUGAAAACUCAAAAGGUGUGCAUUCGCAUGUAUAAAAAAAGUGAAUUAAAAAAAGGAAAUGAACUAUACAAGUCAAGGGGGUCUAAUUAAAAUGAAAUUAAAAUGAAUGGGCUAAUUUAUAAAUAAAAUGGUCUAAAAGUGGACCAAAGUGCGAUGCGCGCAAACGCGGAGGGGCUUAAACUGGAAAUGUACCAGACCCCAAAACGCAGUGUUGAAGCGCGGACUAAAAUAAAAUAGUGCAUAAACUUUUGGGGAAAAUUAAAAAAGAUAGGAUGCCAAUAGGAGUCAAUUGAGACGCGGCGCAAAAGGGAGGGAUUAACGCGAAAUUUUCCCAUUUUACGUGCAGGGGCAUGGAUCCGGGUCUGGGAAUGGGUCGACGCGCGGAUCUCCUUACCAUUAAACGGCACCGUUUUAUACAUCAGCUUUUAUAAACCCUUUUUUUACUUAUUUGCCUUUAAACACAGCCCCCCUUUUAUUGAAAUGAACUUUGCAUGCUCCUAGGGUUUCAUUCAGCAGCCACUGAACCCACCAUCUGAUUUGGUGGUCGACAGUCUAGAGUGGAGGCCAGAUCUUGCCGAAGAAAGCCUCGCCCAGGGAGGUUCGGUAAGUUUACUUCCUUUUCUCUCCCCCUUUUAAAAAAAAAAAAAACUUAAGAUCCUAUGCUAUUCUGUAAAAAAAAAAGAAGCAAAAUAUGCCGACAAAAAAAAAAAGAAAACAACCCUUGCCCCGAAUCACCAUGUUUUUGAAACAGAUGGGCUUUCAUCGGUGUUGCUUCAAGUGUUCAUUUCAUUUAUGCUAAAAUCACAAGGAAAUGACAAGAAAGACGAAAGGGUAAGUAGACUUGAAAAUCACCUUUUCUUCUAUUUGGUUGCUUUGUAUUGCUUGUGUAUUUUUUUGCGUAAAAAAUUACAAUGAACGAACCCUUUGGCUUUAUAGCCAAAGAGAUAAAAUGAUAGAAAUAAAUAAAGAAAAAUACAAUAUUCUUUAUUUGCUUUCGUAUUGGCUAUUGUUGCUGCUGUUGUUUUUUUUUUUACAGGUACGGGUGUGCGUGGCACGAGUACGGGGGCUGUGCUGGCGUAUGGAGGCGCGGGCGUGGCUGCUGGAGGGUACAGAGGCUGGGGCUGCUGUCCAGUUGUGGCGCAAAGGGACAAAAAAAACCUAGGGUUUCGGUUUAAAAUAUUUUGGGCUGUUUGGGCCGAUGUAAUUUUGGGGUUGGGCUUAUAUUGGUUUUUUUGAAUUUGGGCUAUGGGUCAUGUAACUGGGACAUUUUAAUGGACUGUAAACAUUUGAUUUAAUUUAUUUAUUUUGUAUUUUGGUUCUUCUUUGGGCCCGGGCAAAUUGGCCUGUUUACAACGAAAAUAGGGGAGAAGCAAAAACAUUAUUGUGAUGACACGACAGGGGACGUCGUGGCGACGUGUCACACAAUUUUUUUGAUUUUCUUCUCCUAGUUAAACUUUGAGUAUUUGUUUUAGUCGAACUUUGAUUAGUGUAUAUUAUUAUAAUAUUAUUAGACCUACUAAUUUAGCGUAUAGAUUUGCACUUUUCUACCCUAGAAAGAUUUAAUCCAUUACACAUUUAGUUAUUAGAUUUUACAAGCUUUCAAAGAAUUUUAUAUUUACAUUUUGAGGGUUCUUAUUUUGGAUUUUGGGGUUUAGUUUUAUCUUCAUCUUUGUACUAUUUGUUUUUGUCGUUAUAGUGAAAUUAUUUUUGUCUGUG
rnacentral:lncRNA from 1 species